rnacentral:lncRNA from 1 species
UAUCAUAUAAUACAUAAAUACUUUUAAUUGUAUAAAAUUAAAAUAAAAUGCCUAUUUUUAGUUUGAUCACAUCAAAAAAAUUAAUAUCUAAUAUCAAAUAUAUCCUAAUAUGGAACUAAAUAUUUUGUUAAUAGAUAAUAUAUCCUCAUAUAUAUAAGUAUAUAUCAUUAAUAAUAAUAUAUACUAUAUAUGAUAUACUAUAUUAUUUAUUUCUUUUAUAGAUAAAUAAUAUAUAUAUAUAAUUAAAUAUUUUAUUUUGAUAAUUAAUAUAUCGGGCUUUUGGGUCAGGCUCGGGCCGGGCUUGGACAUGCCCAANAAAUAGGCCCAAAAUUUCUUCGAGCCUAAAUUUUUAAGCCCGGCCCGAACCCAAAGUUAUAUUUUUAAUACCCAAAGCCCGGCUCAAACAUGGCCCAUCGGGCCGAGCCUUGUUUAGGCCCGGGCCCAGUUCCACCCCUACCUACGGGUCUCAAUUGUGACUCUGCCCACCUAGCCUUACGCCACUUCAAACAUGACUUGGCCUAACCUAGCCUCACGCCAUUUCGAACAUGACUCGGCCCACAUGGCAGGAUGUUUAUUUAAGCCAACAAUCCCCCCUCCAGCACCUGCACAUAUUUUGCAGCAUGCAGGAAUCGAACCCCCCGUGACCUCUGGCUCUGAUACCACUUGUCGGAUCAUUGGCGCUAACCAUUAAUCCCAAAAGCUCGAGCUGUUAGAAAUACGCAACUACUUCACUUAAAGCGUACAGAAAGAGCGCCCACGGGUCUCAAUUGUGACUCGGCCCACCUGGUCUCAUGCUACUUCGAACAUGACUUGGCCCAACCCAGCCUCACGCCAUUUCGAAUAUGACUCGGCUCAUAUGGCCUCCCGCCACAGGGCAGGAUGCUGGCCCAUUUAAGCCAACAAUCCCCCCUCCAGCACCUCCACAUAUUUUGCAGCAUGCGGGAAUCGAACCCGUGACCUCCGGCUCUGAUACCACUUGUCGGAUCGUUGGCGCUAACCAUUAAUCCCAAAAGCUCGAGCUGUUAUAAAUACGCAACCAAUUCAAUUAAAGCGUACAGAAAUAGCGCCCACGGGUCUCGAUUGUGACUCGGCCCACCUGGCCUCACGCCACUUCGAACAUGACUUGGCCCAACCCAGCCUCACGCCAUUUCGAAUAUGACUCGGUCCACAUGGCCUCCCGCCACAGGGCAUGAUGCUGGCCCAUUUAAACCAACAUCGGGUAUCAACCACCAAGCCCUUUUGCUACUUGUACUAGGAAAGGUCGGUUAUGAGAUUCUAUCCUAUCUCACACUAUCGGCAAGCAAGUCAACUAUGAUAUCAAAUGUAAUAAUUCAGUCCAUCAUUACUAAUAACUUAUUGGAUUUGAAUCAAACUACCGACCUAAAAUGCUUAAAACCGAUGAUUAGUAUUAUUAUUAUAGAGUCCCUAAUCCUUAUACUUCAAUUAUAUAAUUUUUUCAUUCAAUAUAGAUUAUUGGAGUGUCACAGAAUAAGUCCCCUUUCAUCAACACAAGUAACAAAAUUUCUAAUUUUGGCUAAAAGUUAAGUCCACCCUCUCCACUUGUGUCCAAAUAAUUAAGCAUCUGCUUAGAAAUUGAUGUUUUAUUAUUUAUGCUCAAAUACAUAACCUUGGAAUAAAUUAGAGCAUAAAUAGAAGCAUUAGCCAUCAUAUCUCCUUUUACUCCUAAUCAACUUUUGUCUAAGUAGGUGAAAUAUAUAUAUAUAUAUAUAUAUAUAUAUAUAUAUAUAUAUAUAUAUAUAUAUAUUUACAUGGAUCCACAAAUUGUCUUUCAAAAAAUUUUACAGCUAAAAUAAAUCUAAAAAAAAAGAGAAAAACAAAGAAAAAGCUAAAGUUGGGGUGAAUGUCAAUGUCAUAAGAGCAUCUCUAGGCAUGCAAAAGUGUUCUUCUCCAAAUAAUUUCACAGAUUCUUCAAAACAAGAAGUACUUUGCCACCAAAUGUGUGAAGUGGUUUCAGAAUAGAACCUACCAAAGUGUUCAAUUUCAAGUCAAAGAACAAUUUUAAUUUCAAUUUCAAUUUCAAUUGCAAAAUUUUUCCUUUUUUUUGAAUAAAUUAUAUAUAUUUUUAAAUAUUAUUAAAGAAUCAGUAUUAUUUAUAAAAUAAGUAAUGAUUGAUUUGAUUUUCGAUUUUUAGAUGUGACACAUCACAUAGACAUCAAAUAUAAAAAGUUGAAUUAAUCAUUGAUGGGUAGUUAUACUAGGGUUAAUUGCAUCGUUGCUCCCCAACUUUUUUUUUUUUUUUUUUUUUUAGAGAUAGGUAGCACACUACCCGCUUUGUUUAUUUCAUUUAGAAAUAAACUUAGCUGAAAAUGUGAAUCAACUAUGAUUCGAACUUGGGACCUCGGAUACCAACCAUCAAGCCAUUUGCCACUUGCUCUAGAAACGGUCGAUUUGGUCCCCAACUUUUUAUCUUAUUUUCUAUUAUGGCCCCCAACUUUCUGUUGCAAUUAGAUCCGUCAUAUUUUGAAUUAAUUGUAUCACCAGCCCCUAACCUUUACCCCUUUUCUUUUUUUUUGUCCCUAGCCUCUUCCGCUAUCUAUGCACUUAUUACGUCAAGUCCAAUCUCACUAUUCUCGGUAUCGUCUUUUGUGUCUAUGAACGCAUCGACCUUGCACAUAAUAUUUAUUGACUUUUUUAGAGUAUCUGACUAUAUAAUGUCAAGCCAGAUGUAACACCAAAUUUUUUCAAAAAUUUGAAAAAGUCGGCGCUGAAAUUGAUCGGAGGUUACCAGAUCAUAACUAUUAAGAAUGCCAACAGGUCGGAUUCGGGGCAGAUUUUCAAAAAUCCAAACUGAACCCAACACCUAAAUACGAAACUAAAUCCGUACCCGACGGAUUUUAAAAAUCUAUAUCCAAAAUCAAAUUCAACCAAAAGUCCAAAGCCCGAACCAAAAUCCGAAUCCGAUACAAUUAUUUCUCUUUAAAAUAUUACAAAACAUGUUAUAUUAAUAAAAUCAAAUAUAUAUAUAUAUAUAUAUAUAUAUAUAUAUAGAGAGAGAGAGAGAGAGAGAGAGAGAGAGAAUUGAGCUCCUAUGCUUUUAAAAGUACCAANAUUCGAUUUUCGUUUUUUGUACCCAUAUCCAAAACUAUAUUCAUUUAGCAUUAAAUAAGCUGUAUAGUUUAAAUUUGGAUUCAAAUAAAAUUUUGGAUAUCAAUAUCCAUUGACAUCCCUAAUAACCAUGAUCAAUUUAAGUAGCAGGAGCACAUUGGAGUUUGUGUUGCCAAUUUUAACAAAAAUUAACAAAAAUUUAAAUAUUUAAGAUCUAAUUAUAAAAAAGGGAAAAAAAUUCUCUAUGCAAUACUAGGGCUCAUCAAUUAUUAUCUUUGGACCUUUCAUCUUUAGAAGCAAUCAUUCAGUUGGUGAUGAAAGGAAUAAUCCAACAGUUAGAGGAUAAGAAAUCUUAUUUCAAUUUUUUUUUUUCAAAAAAUUCACCCUACCAAUCAUUUUAGCUACUUGUUUAUUUCUAAAAUAUUAUUAAGGGAUUUUUCUUUCUUAUUUGAGUAGAAUAAGUAGAUGUUUGGCUGUGCAGUCGCGCGCACUCGACUACGAAAAAUUACAGAUUAUGAAAAGUUACAAUGUAGCUCGAUCGUCAGCUGAAUUGUGCAGUCAAAUAAAUUCUAAAUAAACAUUGUAUGUGUCCCAAUUUUCGCAAAAAAAGUCACUAAAUUGAAAGAUUUAAAAAACCUUGUUAAUUCUAAACUGUGCAUAUGAAGAAAAUCAAAAUUCAUCAUUCGAAAUAUAUAUUAAGAUAAUUUAUAUUCUGUUCUAAACUGCGUAUAUAAAUAAAUCAAAAUUCGCUCUAAAUAUAUAUUAAGAUUUGACGCUGUUCCUCAAUUAACACUGGGUUGAAUAUAUAAAGACCCCAAUUAUAUAACUCAAAUCAUGGGUAAAGCAUAAUCAUCAUGAAUGAUAAAAAUGAAACUAUUUAUCUUAAUUAUAUCCCAAUUUUCAAUGGCCCUCUCAACUUUUAUUUUUUCGGUUGAAACUUUCAAAACCUUUGAUUUUUUUUUUUCAAAAUUAAGUAAUUUUUUAAAAAAUUAAAAAAUUUAAUCAAAUUUAUUGAUAAUUUUACAAAAUUUAAUAAUUUUAAUUAUUUUCUCACAAAUAAAAUUAAAAUAUCAAAUAUCAAUAAUUAAUAGAGCAACUAAAUUUGAAAAAAAAAAAUCUAUCUUAACUAGAUAUAAAAACUCAAAUAAAAAAAAAAUAGAAGUAAAAUCAAAAUGGUUGAGGGGUCCAUUUUAAAAUUGUCUAUAGUUGAGGAGAUCCUCAUACAUUUUUACUAAAAUAUAUUAUAACAUAAAAGGGGUUCUUCUUGGUUGAAAGAAAACAAGGUGGAAAAAGAAAAAGAAGCAAAAAAGCAAAAAGGGAAGAACAAAAAACUAAUGGGCUUUGUGGGCUCAACUCUUUAUUCAAUUGGUUUAAUUAUUCCUAACUAAUCCUUCCAUUAGAGGAAGGAACUUUUUCUUUUUCUUUUUUCUUUUUAAUUACUUUUUUCUUUUUUUCUUUUUCUUUUUCUUUUUUAUUUUGAAGAACCUGAUUCCAAGUCUUUUGUUGAUAGAUAUUGGUUGUUGAGUGAGAGACCACAAACAUAAUUAUGCAUCAAUGAGAUUUUCCUCUUGUUAUAGUUUUAUCAAACACAAGAGAGCAAAAGUGUUUCUAAUUUCAUUAUAAUUCUUUUUAAAGAAAAAUCAAUGCAAAGAGACUCAUAAAAUAUUAAAUUAUUAUUUUGUAUAAGUUUAAGAUUAUAUUAAAAAAAGUAUUUCCAAUAUCUAGAUACUAAUGAGUUUAUCAUUACGUUACUCAGUUUUGCUGUUUAUAUAUAAUUACAAUAAUCUCACAACCUUUUUAAUGUUGAGACUAAACGUUCGAUGUAUUUGAGAGCAGAUAAUUAUUCUUCGAACUCUACGUUUGAUUGUUGCAAAGGUCUUAGGCUUCGUAAUAGACCGUGUUUGUCCUUUAAUUUUCUUUUUUUUUGUGUCAUUAACUAAAAGGAAUUACUUGCAAUUACUGAAGAGUCAGUUGAACACUUGCAUCAAGAUAUGUUUUUUUUUUUUUUUUUUUUUUUUUUUUUUUUUUUUUUUUUUUUUAUUGGGUGAGUGAUGAACAAAUGGUGGACAUAAUGCUUGUGAGAUGUCAACUUCACUGCUGGGAAAAGGCAAUAUUUAAGGCUGACUUGUAGUUCCACUUAUUCAUCAUUGUUAGUGAUCUGGAAUUGUUCCUGGUGGUCCAAAACCUAAUCAAUAAGCAUAGGCCAUUAGAGGAACAAAUCCUUGCAUGGAAUUUUAUGUAGCUUGUCCCCUUUAACCCAUAUACUUUGUCAAUCUAGCUCAUACUAACCAAUGAUUGUUGUCACAUGCAUAAUGUUGAUAUCCAAAUACAAGAUUAUGGGAUGAUUUAGUACAAUAAUACUAAUUUAAUCAAUGAUAAUCUUUUCUUAGGUUUUAACUAGUCCUAUGUAUGUAGUGGGAAGGAGCACUUUCAAGGAUUAAAGGGUUAUUUGGCUCGUCUAGAUCUUCUGUAAGAGUAUUAUUUUAGCAAAGGGUCUGAUGAUUGGUAUUCGAGAUCUUAAGUUCGAAGCCUAAUUGCUUUACAUUUCUAGCUAAAGUUAAUUUCUAAAAAAAAAAAUUUAAACAAAGCGGGUAGCAUAUUACCACUCUCUCUCUCUCUCUUAAAAAAAAAAAAAAGCAAAAUCUUUUAAGUGACAUGAAUGUCUUUUGAUUAGUAUAGAUACUUUUAAUUUAGAAAAGUAAAUCUUAAUUUGAAUCACACUUUAAGCCUAUAUGAAUAGGUUGCAUGCAUGAAUUACCACAAACUUGAUUUAGAAAAAAGGUGUAAAUUGAACAAAAAGACCUUCAGAUGGUGAGACAGAUUAAUCCACCGUCCACACUAUUUCGAGAUUAGAAUACUACACAUGAUUGAUUGCAGAUUAGACAGUCUCACUCUGAUAAGAGUUAUUUUUUUCUUUUCUUUGUUUUUGGGGCAAAAUCUAUAAAAGUUUUGGGCAUAUACAUCUUACAUCUAUAACAAAACUGAUAGAGUCCCCCUACCAAACCCUUUUACUUAAACGUGGUCAAUUUUUGCAAAUCUAAUUAAGCACUACAGCUAAAGCAAUAAAGCAAUCUCUGAAGAAAAAGUAUAUAUGAAUCACAUUUCACCUUCAAUGUCCUCAUGGAUCAUGUAGAAUCUUUAAACACUAGCUUUUCUCUUACCUUCCACAUAUGAGACCAAACAAUGUACAGUGGGAAACAGUGUCACAUGGAAAUCACUUUAAACUUAUUUUGGUAUCUUAAGCUUGUUGUAUAAAUCCUUGUAUAUCUUGUUGUAUAAAUCCUUGUAAGUUUAUGUAUAUAUACCACUUAAAAUGAAAGCUACAUGUCACUAUGACAUCACCAAAAUGCUAGACUUUAUUGUUGUAAGAUGUUUAAUACAUUGUUCUUCAGGUGCAGUUAAUUUGCAUGCACCAUCAACUACUUAAUUUUCAGUCAUUUUUCCAAACUUUUCCAUAAUAGAGAUCUUUCUAAAAGUACCCAUUUGUGUUUCUUAAGGUUUCUACUUACUGUUGUUUUGGCUAAAUUACAUAAAACCCUCGUGUCAAAACCCGAUUUUUCAUUUUCCUUUAUGUCAUUUAAAAACCUACACUUUACCUCCUUAUAAAAUAAAAAAUGGUCAUAAGAGGGUACGGUGUGAUGACAAAAUGACUAUUUUGUCUCUCACCAUUUUUGGCAAUAAAAGAGAAGGCUGGGGACAUUUUUGGCAUAAGAACAUAUACAAUAAUAUUUUAUAAAUAAAAUCCUAACGGAUCACCAACGGAAGGGGGUGAACUGAACAUUUUUCAUUUUACAAAUGAGCAAAGUGUAGCUUUUUAAAUGACAGGGGGGGGAAGUGAAAAAUCGGAUUUUGACAGAAAGGUUUUCUAUAAUUUAGUCUUUCAUUUUCGGUAAACUAAUUCUUUUUCUCUAAAACUUAAACUAUUGUUUCGCGUGUAUUUAAUAUAUAUACAUGUAAAUCUAUUCUUGUUCACAGGUAAGAAAUCUUUCUAUCAGAUGCAUGCUUUCAAACACACCAUUCUUUGCUGUUAGAUUCCGCUGUUUGUAAAUUUAAAGUACCGCAAAGUAAAAUUCAAAAUUACGUACUGUUUGUGCUAUGAUUUGUGUAACAACUAUUUUCUUUAAAAAUUUAAGCUGCUAAAGAACGGUAUCCGUAAUAUUAAAUCCUCACAGUAUGGAGGGGAAUGAACCAGACUAAUUGCUGACUCCACAUAAAAAAGAAAAUGGCCAACUACUCCUUUGUGCUCUCUGCUACAAAUCCACAAACCUUACCAUCAUACCACAAAGCUGUAAAAGUUUGUCCUAGCUCCUUAAAGCUUCUUAUUCCAUUCCCCUCCACAAUAAAAGCACUUGUAAACAAUAUUCAAAAGCACUUUUUAUGCCCAUGACCAUCCAGAGCCAACCCUUUUAAACUACUCUCUGAUAUACAUCUCAUAGCUUUACCUUGUAGGAUUCCUUUAUUGGCCUACAAGCUUUCUUAGGAUUCUUCACAUAGUAUUAAUUGAAACAUAGAAAAAAAAAAAAAAACCCCACCAAUGCAGCAGUUGCUUCAUUCUUGUUGUUCAUAUGGGGAAUUUAUUCCAUAGGAGUAUGAUCUUAUUGUCCUUCAUGAAGGAACCUCAAAUGGGUAUUAAUGUAUUUCAAAGGGAGGGGUAAUUAGUGUAUAUAAAUAUGAGUUUGCUUGUUCCACUAAGUUUUCAAAGCUUGAGGGAUAUAUAUAUAUAUAUAUAUAUAUAUAUACACAUACACUUAUCUAUUUUGAGUUACUGUUUAGAUUAGAGUAAUAGAGAAGCUUAGUUCAACUGAAGUUUUGGAGAGAGAAAGGAAAAGGAGGAGUCUUUUUUUGUAGUUAGCAAUGCUAACAUAUGGAAGGGAAAGAAUGCUUAGUACUUUGGCAGGUUUUAUGGCUCUGAUUCUUCUUGCACCAUCAGCAGACUCUGCAAGAACCCCCCCAAGAUUAAAUCAAAUUCACAAGAUCAGCCAACCCAGUCCAUCAUCAUUGAAGGUAAUCAAUAUGGUUUUAAGCACUUCUAUUUUGAGCUCAUUGUUGUCGCUAUUACUUUAUUCUGUGAAAAUUUUAGUGAAGCUUGCAUUUUCUCACAUUUGCUUACUUUUACUGGUGAAAAAUUUUCCUACAAUGAUCAUUUUUAGUUGUAUGACUAGUUUUUUUGGUCAUCAGAAUCAUCGAUUGGUACUAUUAGAUAUGAACUAGGUUAUUUGAACUUUGUAGAAACUAAAUUUCGUAAUUUUUUGACAUCAUUUAGCUAAUGAUCACAUGAUCUCAAAUUCACUUUAUAUUAGCCAUUAAAAAUUAUCAAUUUAGAGAUUCUUUUUUUUUAAUUCUAGGCACAAAUGACGUCGUAAAAUUAUGAAAUUCGAAAGCUGAUAAGUUCAAAUAAGCUAGAUCAAGUUUAACAGUGUCGACCGUCGAUUCAGAUGCCCCAUCUUCAAAAACAAUGUGGAAGUAAAGAGAGAGAGAGUUUGCUACCUGUAUUUUACCUUUUAUUUUCAUAGAUAAGUAAAUCAUCAAACAAUGAAUAUGCCAAUGCUUCAAUUUCAAUUUGCAGCUGACUCCUCAGCUCUCAUUCCAAAUCAAGCUCCAUGCAUUCCUCCUCUGGGCUUCAGUAGGUUUCUUGAUGCCCAUUGGCAUACUUGUAAUCAGAAUGUCGAACACUGUACAAUGUGGCAGAAGACUAAAGAUCCUCUUCUACACUCAUGUUAUGUUGCAGGUUUGUGAGCUCUUUUUCCUCUUACUCCUCUUUUCUUUUAUUGAUCAGCUUAUCAAUAGAGUUGCUUUUAUUGCAUUAUUCGUCGUGCUCGAGCAGUUCAUAACGCAGGCACGUAAAUUUUAUAUCAUACCAAAAAGAAGAUAUUUUUUAUAUAAUUUAAGAUCCCCCCUUAACAUUACAACUAUCUAAAAGAUCGCGGGUGCUCAAAUUGUGCAGAUUACAGCAGUCCUGCUGGCCACCGCGGGAGCCGUUUUAUCGAUGAAGAACUUCGAGAACUCAUUCAACAACACACACCAGAGAAUAGGCCUGGCACUCUAUGGGUUCAUUUUGCUUCAACCAUUCAUCGGUUUCUUGAGGCCUAACAGGUAAUAAUAAUACAAUAACACAAAGCUUAAUCAAAUUACAAGUUGUGUAACAUUAUACUUAUUAUUUCAUUUUCGUUAUUCCGCAGAGGAGUGAGAAUAAGGAGCAUAUGGUACUUUGUGCAUUGGAUACUCGGAAUCGGUAUCUGCACUGUGGGGAUAGCAAAUGUUUACAUUGGUUUGCACACAUACCAUGAGAGGGCCUCAAGAAGUGUGGAGUUGUGGACUGUUCUAUUCACUGUGGAGGUCUCUUUCAUUGCUUUUGUGUAUCUAUUGCAAGGUAGAUGGGAUUAUGUUAUGAAGCAGGGAGUUAAUCCUGGUGAUGAGCAAAUUAGACCCACUGAUCAUGUAACAUCACCAAGUGGUAGUGUUCAUAAAGAGUUAGCAGUGAUGUCCUGAAGAAGUGUUAAAUAUAAGAUUGUGCAGUUUCUUAUUGUUUUCCUGUUUCUUUAGUUCUGGGAGUGACAUCAUAUUGGUUUGCAAUCUUUCAAGUGUAAGCUGAAAGAAAAAUCAAAUCCUGACUUGAUGGCAGAAACAGUGGCACUCUGGAAGAAAACCACAUGGAAUGCAAAAGAUGUGAAUCAUGUAAAACUCUUCUGAUGUAGCAUCUUAAUCAAACAAAAUAGACUAAUUGUGUGACAAAAGCUGAGAAAAGGAAAAUACAGUGGGGAGAGCUGAAAAUCUAAAAUUCUUGACAAACUACAAUCAAAUGUGUAUGCAGCAGAAGGAAAAAGAAAAAAGGAAAAGGUAAAAACAUACAGGAGUCCGGCUAGUAUAUUCUUAUGAGCACGAUUGUCUUCAUACUCAUAAGUCAAUUUUGAUGAUAGAACUUCUAAAUCGACGAUCCAUACCGUUAAACAUUAUUUAAGACAUUUAAAACUUCUAAAAAUCAAAAUUUAUAAUUUUUUGACAUCAUUACCUUACGAUCAAAAGAUAUCAAAAUUGAUAGUUUUAAUGGCCGGUAUGAGAUAUUUGUGUAAAAGAAUUAGAAUCAGUUGAAUGUUUGAUAGAAAAUUCUAUUCACUAUCUAGAUAAAGAUCAAUAACUCCGAUCUUAAAUUGAAAGAUCCGAUCAUCCAUUUUUAGGAUGUUAUUCGAUUUUAACCAUUCAUUUUGUACCCGUUCAAUGGACUUUAUUAUGAUUUUGAAAAGUUACAAAAUUUAUUUUUUAGAAAUUUCAAAUACUCUAGAUUAUAUUUAACAGAGUAGAUCCUCGAUUUGAAAGUUCUAUUAUCAAAAAUAACUUAUGAGUACGAAGGGGUCUAUAAGAGUAUACUCAAACAUACAAAACUUAUAUAGACUACUUUGAUUUGGCUACCCAACAUUUCAAAAUUUUGAUUUUAGUACAUAACGUUUCAAUUUGUUCGAUUUGAGUCAAUCGACGAUACUUUAACUUUAAAAUUCGAAUGUGUCCUUUUAUUUUUACAAGUUUAAUUAAUUUAUUUCAUUUAAUUUUUAUAAUUAUAAAUUUAUUAAAGUAAUCAGCCGUCCUUAGCGCAAGUGGCAAAAGAGUUGGUGGUUAAUAUCCGAGGUUCCAAGUUUGAAUUCUAGUUAAUUCAUAUUUUCAGCUAAGUUUAUUUCUAAAUGACAUAAAUGAAGCGGGUAGCAUGCUACCUUUCUCUCAAAAAAAAAAAAAAAAGCUAAGUAAUUAGUUUAAAUUAAUGUCAAAGUGUUCUUGCCUGACUCAAAUCAAACAAAUUGAAAGAAUAAGUAGCAAAAUCAAAAUUUUAGUUAAACAAUUAAUAUAAUAAUUAAAAAUAAUAAUUCCCAGACAAAGACAUGUAUUUUGGAAAAAAGUUUAAAAUCUAGUAGUUAUGUGAAUGACGUGGCAUCUUCAACCAAUCAUAUUUGCUCUAUUAGGUUCAGCUAUGCCAUCAUAAUUUUUUAAAAAAUAUUUUUAUUAUAUUUUUUUUUAAAAAAAAUUGAUGGGAUAUAUAUAGAUAAAACUAGAGAAGUAACUCGCGGGAUGCGACGGAUAAAUAAUAAAAAAAAAAUUAUGAAAGAAAUAAAAAUAUAGGAAUAUAAAUAUUUCAUGAUAUUUGAGAAUGCGGCAGCCAACGAUGAUACCAUACGCCGUUCUUGUUGAGGACGUAUGAGGAGCAGCGGGUGAAGGCAGAAGGGCUCCGAGUGGGGCUGACAAAUAAGUGAGCUAGCUCGUGUUCAACUCGCGUUCGGCUCGAUAUUCGGCUCGAAUUAAUUUCAAGCAAGCUUGAGCCUAAAUUUAGGCUUGAAAUUAAUUUCAAGCCGAGCUUGAGUAUUACUCGGCUCGCUUAAAUUAAGCUCAAAAAGCUCGAUAUAUAUAUAUAUAUAUAUAUAUAUAUAUAUAUAUAUAUAUAUAUAUAUAUAUAUAUCUAUAUAUAUUCGGCUUUUGGAUGAAGGGAUGUGCGAUUAGAAUGAUAGUGAUUCCCUAGGAUUGAGUGAGUGGUUAGUUGAGUAAUAUGAUUUAACGGCACAAAAUUCGAUAGCAACAAUCAUUUAUAUAGUAUUAUCGAUAAUAUAAUAGCCGGACUCUCUCUCUCUCUCUAUAUAUAUAGUCCGGCUACUAUACUAUUUAUAUUAUCCAUAAUACUAAGCGCUUUGUACUAUUCAGUUUUCUGCUGUUAGAUCUACUAAUAUAUAUAUAGAGUCCGACUAUUAUAUUAUCAAUAGUACCAAACAUUUGGUGCUAUCAAGUUUUCUGUUGUUAGAUCUAUCCCUUUGGCUAUUUUCAUUCGUUAGAUCAUACUAUUCAACUAGCCACCCACUCGACCCUGGGAGGCUACCAUCAUCCUAACCGCACAUCCCUUCAUCCAAGGGCCGAAAAUCUAAUAGCAAGUGGUUUGUACUAUUAAUAGUAUAGUAGCCUAAUUCUAUAUAGAUAGGCUCGGUCUACUAUACUUUUAUAAAUAUAGACUCUUUUAUACUUAUAAAUUUUCAGCCGUUGGAUGUGCGAUUAGAAUGAUAGUGGUCCUCUAAGAUUGAAUGAAUGGUUCGUUGAAUAGUAUGAUUAAACAGAUGGAAAUAAUCAAAAGGAUAGAUCUAACGGUCGAAAACUUAUGAGUAUAAAGGGGUUUAUACUCAUAAAAGUAUAUAUAGUAGCAAAAUCCUACUCUAAUUGCUCUCUUUCUCUCUUUUUCACUUCCUUGUAGAGUCGCUUUUCCUAAUUUUUUUAGUAUUAUAAUAUUGUAUUUCAUGCAAUCAUUUUGUAUGUUAAACUAUUAGAUAUUUUUUAUAUCAAAUUUUAGAUAAUAUUUUACCGACCGUCCCAAGAGCAAGUGGCAAAGGGCUUGGCGGUUUGUGCCCAAGACCCAAGUUCGAAUCCUUGUUGAUUCACAUUUCUAGCUAAGUUUAUUUCUAAAUGAAAUAAACGAAGCGGGUAGAGUGCUACCUAUCUCUCUCUCAAAAAAAAAUAAAAUAGAUAAUAUUUUAUAAAAAAUAAAUUAUAGAUUGCACUAUGUUAAGAAUUUCAAGUAGCUUGUUUAGGGGUCGAGCUCGCUCAACUCGAAGUUAGGCUCGCUCGAGCUCGGCUCGAAUUAAUUUCAAGCCAAGCUUGAGCCUAAAUUUAGGCUCGAAAUUAAUUUCAAGUCAAGCUUGAGCUAAAGUAAGCUCGCUCGAGCUUGGCUCGUUUCCACCCCUAGCUCCGAGUGGUGAGCGAGAGGAAAAGAGGGAGAGAAAAAGAAAAACCUUAAAUUAUGGAUGCAGAGAUCCAGAACCUUUCAUCCAAACUGUUGCGUAGGCAAAAUGAGGGGAGAGGGAGAGACGCCGUUGUCGGUUUGGGAGAUACAAGAAAUUAAGAGAUAAGAGGAAAAAGAAAAGAGAAAGAAAAAGUGAGUUGAAUGACGUGGCUAUGAGGAAAAAGAAAGGUUUUACUAAGAUAAAAGAGAAUAGAAAAAAUUUAAAAUAAAGAGUGGGUCCCACAGCCCUCAAUUAAGGUAGAAUAGAAAAAAAAAAAUAAAAUAAAUAGUGACUCCUACUGUCCUCAAUUAAGGUGGUACAUUUAAGUUGAAUUUGACCAUAAAAAAUAAUAUAUAGAUAUAGAAAAUAAGGUACCGCUAGAAAAUUUCUUGUAUUUGGGGGUGACUAGUUGCACUGCCCUUGUUUUAAACUUUUCUAAAUGAUUCUGAAUUUUAAGGGGAAAACUCCAAAUACUCACACUUUUUCAUUUUAGUAUUUUGUGGUUUAAAGUGUAUCAAUUUAAUAUCAUGUGGUUUCGCACUUUCUCACUGCUCUUGUUUUAAACUUUUCUAAAUGAUUCUGAAUUUUAAGGGGAAAACUUCAAAUACUCACACUUUUUCAUUUUAGUAUUUUGUGGUUUAAAGUGUAUCAAUUUAAUAUCAUGUGGUUUCGCACUUUCGCACUUUCGCACUUUCGCACUUUAGUACCUUAUGGUUUAAAGUGCAUCAAUUUAGUAUUCUGUUGUUUCAUUUUUUUUUUUUCUUUUCGUUGGCUCUUCUGUUAAUAUUUCAUUAAAUUAUAUACAAAAAACUUCAGAUAUCCUAUCUAGUUUUAUCGAAUAUUUACUUUAGUAUCUUUUAGUUUUAACUUUAUCAUUGAUUAUUUUUUCCUCCGUUAAUAUUUCGUUAAAUUAUAUACAAAAAAACAUCAGAUAUCCUACCUAGGUUUAUCGAAUAUUCACUUUAGUACCAUUUAGUUUUAACUUUAUCACUGAUUUAACGAAAAAAAUUAGUGAAAUAGAUAAUAAAAAAAGAAAAAUGAAAUCACAGGGUACUAACUUGAUACGCUUUAAACAACAUGAUACUAAAGUGAGAAAGUACGAAACCAUAGAGCUAACUUGAUAUACUCUAAACUAUAGGGUAUUAAAGUGAGAACUUGUGAAACCACGGGGUGUAUUUGAAGUUUACCCAAUUUUAAAAUAGUGAUUUUUACAUAUUUGACAAUGUCCCGUUUGGUCUUAUAGAUUCCAUUUUCGUAUAUUGCUUCUUCUCCAAAUUCCAAAUGCAAUUUUCCGUAGCCUUCGACACCUCAAGGUAACGUCUUCUUCCGGGCUUUUUUUCAAUUUAGCCCCGGGCAAAUUUUUAUUUUAAAAAUAGUCCUCUUAAAAUUUAAUUUGCAAAAAUAGUUCUGGCCCUGCCACGCAGACGCCACGUCAGCGCCACACGGGCAGGACUGGGGCCAGUGUGUUAAGUUGAAUACGGUGAACCAUUCACCGUGUUCAAACACGGUGAAUCACUGUGUUUCACACGGUAUAUUUAUAUUCCUUUUCUUCUCUUUUAGGAAUGUCAACAGAUCGGGUUUGGAUCGGAUUUGGAUCGGAUUUUUAAAAAUUCGAAAUCGAAUUCGAAAAUCAAAUUAAAACCCAAACACGGUUACACGAAUCCGAGCCCGACGGGUUUUAAAAAUCUAUACCUAUAUCCAGAUGUUAAAGUUAAAUGGGUAUGGAUUUUUAAAACCCACCGGGUUUGGAUUCGGGUUCGAGUUUUAAUUUGAUAUUAGGAUUCAGAUUCGGAUUUUUUAAAAUCCGAUCCAAACCCGACCCGUUGACAUCCCUAAAAGAGAAGAAAAAAAAUAUAAAUACAUCGUGUGAAACACGGUGAAUCAUUUACGUGUUUGAACACGGUGAAUGAUUCACCAUGUUCAACUUAACACACUGACCCCAGCGACGCCCGCGUGGGGCUGACAUGGCGACUGCAUGGCAGGGCCAGAACCAUUUUUGUAAAUUAAAUUUUGAUAGGACUGUUUUAAAAAUAAAAUUUUUCAGAGGCCAUUUGCAAAAAAAAAAAGCCCUCUUCUUCUUCUUCCUCUUCCUCUUCCUCUUCCUCCCUCCCCUAAAACAAAUACCCACACUUAAACCCUAAUUCCCAUGGCGUCUCAUUACCAUCCCCACGACCACGACGACGACCACGAUCACCACCAUGAGUGCUGCUACUCCUCUCUUCUUCUUCUUCUUCUUUUAUCUCCUCCUCCUCCUUCCCUUCCAGUUCAUUACGCGCCCCGAUCUUAUAAACACUAAUUCUUCUUAGUCGCUCGGACGCGUCGGCGAUGUCGUGGGUCGGGGCCGAUGGUAGGGUUUACCACUCCCACGAUGGCUUGGCGCCGCACUCGCACGAGCCCAUCUACUCCCCCGGAUACUUCGAGCAGCGGGCGCCGCCGCUCCCUUCUAGAGACUUCGAGGAGCGCGCCUUCACCGUCGGCAUCGGCGGCCCCGUCGGCACCGGGUGCUUCCUCUUCUUCCCGCUUUCCCCCGAUUCACCAUUGCUCUUUAGGGUUUAGGUUCUGAUUAAGAUUGCGAAGAAAUUGCAUUACGUGCUACGAUAAAGCAUAACUUUGUUCUCUUGUUUCUUUCGCAUAUCUUAAUGAAUCGGUUAUAAUAUAUUUUCAUUUUCUGCAGUUCGUUCCAACUCUGUUGUUGAAAUUGAUGCAGUUUUUAUGCCAUGGGUAAUUUUAGUUUAGCUUUUUCUAUAACUGGGAUAUGAAUAGGCGGUAUUUGUUGACUGUUGUUGAAUCUGGAAAAAUUGCUUUUUUUUGGUUGGGAGUUACUCUGGGACGGCGGUAUCUGAUCCUUGGUUUUCCCUUAAAAUUUGACCUUAAUUAAGUAGCAAUAUGUAGAAAUUUUUUAGAUUAAUACCUUGUUUAAAUUAUGUUUUAUCAGUGAAUAAAAGAUGAAUUUUCUGUUUUUAAGAGUAGUACCUAACUAAAUAAGCAUAUUAAUUUCAUCUAAUAACCUUUUUUAAGUUCCGUAAGCACAAUGUCAUCUUCGUCGCAGUCAUGUGUGGUACAACCAAUCAAAUUGUCAUGUACUUAAGAAUUCAGGUAUUCAAAAGGGCUAACUUCCUUGCAAUAGAAAUAAUCUCUCAAGUGUUGGUGAUUAUAUCAUUAGGUUGUGGUUUGGUACUGUGUUUAAUAGAUGGUAUUUGGACUUUGUUAUGAUUUCUUGAUGUUAUAAAAAAUAAUGCUUUACUUCCUACUGCUUAUCCCUUUCUACUUAAAUUUCAUCAGUUAUGGCUGGUCGAUUUCUUAGGUGCUUACAUUGCUUUAUUAGUGCUGCACCUACAUGCUUACUAGUUCGUACUCAACCUGUUUCUAUAUUGUUUUACCUCCUACAAGAUCAGCAUAGCUGAAACGAUUUAUCAUUCCAAAAUUUUCAGGAAAACGGCUUUGAUGCUGGCACUUUGCCAAGUCUUGCGUGACAAGUACAGUCUUGCUGCAGUAUGUAUCAUCUUUCAAAAAUUAAAAAAGUUAUCUUCUACUUUAACUUAUUGUCCUCAACUACAUGUUAACUGCUUAUAAGUGCCAAAUAUAGUUUAGGUUGUGUUCAUGGCCUCUAAGCUUACCUAAUCAUGAAAAUGGUGAUAUUUAUUUUUCUUUAUUUAUUUUUAUGAUCCACACUUGAUGCAAUAUGAAAUUUCUUGUUUUUCCUGAAUUACAAAACUAAACUACUCUCAAAAUUAAAGGGAAGAAUAAAUGGCUAUCUACGCACACCAUGGGGACUCACCAGCAGCCCUCAUGGUUGCAGCAACUAAACUAUGCUUGAAAAGCUCAAGGUUUAUGCUUUGAUAUUUGCUUGAAUUACUAUAUAUGAAAAUAAGACUUUUGCAUUUAGUAAUGUAUGGUCAGUAGCUUGUUAAAUGUUCGCUGAAUACUGAUAUUUCUUCUUUACAUAGAUAUGAAGAAAUUUUAUUGGCUGCCAAUCAGUUUGCAAUUUAGCAGUUAUCUCUUUCUGAUUUGGGCAUAUAUAUUUUCUGUUUUCUUGUGAUUCCUAUGGUUUCUUAUUAAGUGAAUAUGGUUGGCUAGUUCAAAUUGUUGAAUGUGACAUAUUUGUUAAUACGAAGUUCUCAAAGUUGGUAGCUUCUGUUUGUUUUUUAAUUCUAUGAUAUUCUUCAGGUAACUAAUGAUAUAUUUACCAAAGAGGAUGGCGAAUUCUUAGUGAAGCAUGGAGCACUUCCUGAGGAACGGAUUCGUGCUGUUGAAACAGGAGGCUGCCCGCAUGCUGCUAUACGAGAAGAUAUAAGCAUAAAUCUAGGUCCUCUUGAAGAGCUUUCUAACCUAUAUAAAGCAGACCUACUACUCUGCGAAUCUGGAGGAGGUACUCUAUAUUUUUUUAAUCAAAAUUUCCAAGUACUUCAUAAACUUUGUCUGACCAGAAAUGAUUGAUCAAGGUUGUUUGAUCAUGUAUUUUAAAUCGUGUAUUUUAAAUCAUAUAGGUGAUGGUUGAUAAACACGUCGUUCUUAAGUUUGUCAGUCUAUAUAGCAAGCCCACCGUUUAUCUAAUUUUGGUUCUAUUUGACUCCAAUUCCUGGAGAGUUGUAUCAAGUUUAUGAUCAAUUUCAAAGAUUCACUAUUCCUUUGGGGCUUUCUCUCAUCUCUGCAUUGUGAAUCUAGGUGCUUCGUCACUGUUUGGUUAUGCUUCGAGAAUGAUGUUUUGACAAAAUUCAGUUUUGAACUUCAGUUGAUAACAGAACAUAACUAUUUAAAGUUGCAGUAACUUGAGUAAAGAACCAUGUAAUCAUGAUAACUUCCAAAAUGUUAUUAAUGAAGGAGAGAACCCAGACUACACAGAGGUUGAGAUAAGAAGCCUUCUCCUUUUAUAUUCGAGAACUUUAAGAAAGAUUACAUGGAAGGAAGACGAAACCUAUACUAAAUUUUGAGGCUCAGAACUUCCCCCAAAAAAAAAACAAGGGAGAGCACAAGAAGAAGGGAACAAAAUAAUUUUAAAAAAGGAAGGUAAUAAAGGUGGAGAAGAGAGAGGAGAGAGAUCCUCUGCAUAACUUAACACACUGAUCAAAUAUGUAAAUUAGACUAUGAUCUAACAAGUUGGUGUUCUUGCCGUAAGCAGCAGUAUUAUGAUCUCUUUUGUUUUGCUAUGUGCUUGUCUUGACUGACGGGCAACAUUGUAUCUUUCAAGAUGGUGAAAAAGAUGUAAAAAUAGUAAUUGAAAAUAUUUUUGAUGAUGCAGAUAACUUGGCAGCCAACUUCAGCAGAGAAUUAGCCGACUACAUAAUUUAUAUCAUCGACGUCUCUGGUGGUGACAAGAUACCGAGAAAAGGUGGUCCAGGGAUAACACAGGCCGACCUUCUGGUAUGUAAAAAGAAAUUGAUGCGUCGGUUUCUUAAUUUGGAUUGCAGUUAUCUUAUGAUUGGCUUAAUUUUUUUUUUUUAAAUAUAGGUAAUAAACAAGACGGAUCUUGCACCAGCAGUUGGAGCUGAUUUGGGGGUUAUGGAGCGGGAUGCACUGAGGAUGCGGGACGGAGGACCCUUUGUUUUUGCUCAGGUACUUCAAUCUUGAGCUGAAUCGGCAGUAAUGGUGGUUUUAGACACUUCCCUGUUGUUUAUUUUAACAGUUUUUUUUUUUUUUCUCUUUUCUAAAAUUCAUCCUAGUCCAUAUGCGAAAAACGUCUAAGGUUUUGAAGUAUCACACUAAAUCAGCAAUUGUAAAUUUUUGGUUUUUCAUGCCCUUUGAAUCGUCAAGCUACCUAACCGUCUUAACAAAAAAUAGCUACAAUACGAUCAAUCUUUAGAUUUAAAAUCACUGCCUAUAUACCCCGAUAUUGGUCGUAAUUUACAAGAACUUUCUGUAUUACUAGUAAGAGGGGUGGGGAUUGCAAAUUUGCAAUCCGUGUGUAUGGGUCGAAGUAUUCUUUUCAUAAUUCUUUGGCGAUGAUAAUGAUGAAGAUGUGAAUCGCAACCAUGUUUCUUGUGCAGGUAAAGCACGGAGUGGGCGUGGAGCAAAUCGUGAACCAUAUCUUGCAAGCAUGGGAGGCGGCAACUGGGAAUAAGCGCCAUUGAACCUGAGCCCCCACAUCCUGUGUUGUACUUGAAUCUUGUGAUGUUACUUUUUCUUUUUUUCCUCAAUAAUUUUUGAAUGGUUAUCAACUGUUGGAUGCUCAAUAAUUACCUGAGAUGCAAUCUAUGAAACUAUUUUUCGUGUGCGCUGAAAUUAUACUUUUCGCUCUUUUUGCAAAAAAUAAAAUGUUGUAAAGUUGUUUGUAAGUGAAAAGUGUUUAACUUUAGGCCUUUUUUUUUGAGUUAAAAUUGUUCAAACAUUGAUGAAUUACCUGAAUUUUCUUUCAUUGAGUUACUGGUGGUGACCAUGAUAGCUUAAGCCAAUAAUAUGAAAUUUGUGUAGUUAGUUCCAGUGUAACAUGUAUUGUGACUUUUAAUUUAUGUACUUUUCACUCAAAUACUCUAAUUGCAACAAAAAGGUUUGCAAAAUCAAGAAAAGAGUAGUUUCCAACAACUUGGAAUCUUUCAAAAACUCCACAAAGCAUUAAAUUUACAUCAAGUUUUAGAAAUAUGGUUAGACUAUUAUCCAAUGAUGGGCAUGUUUGCCUUAAUUGUGAACAAUAGUGCCGUUGAAAAAGUACUGUAUGAAAUAGUGUAAUGCUGUUAAAAAAGCUGUAGAAUGUUUGGUUGUUUUAUGAAAGUGUUGUCUUCUGUAUAGAGCUGUAUAGUUAAAGAUUUAGAAGCUUUCCAUAAUUUAUGAAUCAAAUAAAUGUCAGGCAUUUCCAGGAGACAACAAGAAUCCUAUUCUUUUCUUCUUUCUCAAUCCUUAGAACUCCUAAAGAGAGAAAAGGGUGGUGAUCACCUACAAUGUAAAAGUUAUCCCAUUAAAGAUUGAAAGAAAGACCCUUUUUUAAAGUAGCAAAUUCAAUGCUUCUUUAGUUGGAAGAUUAUAAUAUGGUUAGCUUGAUUUAUACCAUUUAGAGAGAGAGAGAGAGAGAGAGAGAGAGAGAGAGGUGAAUAUUUGGAUGAGUGAUAGGGUUGUUACAAUCUCCUAUGGUACAAUUUAAUUGAUUGAGUGGUAAUAUGUUGUUGAUGUGGUAAUGAUGUGACUGUAUAAUGAUUAAUGGCAUGAUAAUAAUUAAAGGCUAAAUUACAAAAAAUCCUUUUAUCAAUACCCGCUUUUUCACUUUCUCCUUCUGUCAUUUAAAAACCUACAUUUUGCCAUCUUAAAAAAUGAGAAAUAUUCACUUUGUCCCCCCGCCGUCAGUAUUCUGUUAGGGUUCCGUUUAUAUCCUAUUAUUAUAUAUUUUUUAUACCCAAAAUACCCUCUCAUCCCUGCCGCCUCCUUCCUCGCCGCCCUACACCGCCGCCUCGCCCUCGUCCACCCCUCCAUUCGCGUCCAAACACAUGCUCUCGUGCUCGCCGUCUCGCCCUCGCCCUUGCACGCCUCUCCGUCCACGCCCACGCCCACUCCGAUCUCCUCCCUAUCGUCGCCGAAAUGGAGAGGCAACGCGAGUGCAGGAAGAGCGGAGGAGCAUGUGGAGGAAAAUGGAGUCAGAGUUGCGGUUGAGCGAGUGUGAAAAACGAAAGAGGAGGGGCAACGGCUGAGCAAGGUUGGGGAAGAAGACGAAGAUGGUGAGGAGCAUUUUAGUCAUUUUGUCACUGUGUACUCUCUUGUGAACAUUUCUUAUUUUUCAAGGAGGUAAAGUAUAGAUUUUUAAAUGACAGGGGGAGAAAGUAAAAAAGCAGAUAUUGAUAGAAAGAUUUUCUGUAAUUUAGACAUAAUUAAAAUAUCAUGUUGUCAGGUAAUGAUAUGACUGUAUAAUGAUUAAAUGGCGUGAUAAUAUUUAAAAUAUCACGUUACCACUACAUCAGCGAUUCACCAUCAUCUAGUCAAUUAAAUUUAACUGUAAGUUAAAAGGUUUAAGCACAGAAUUACACUAAUUUUUUUUUAAAAAAAUGAUCAAAGUGUUACUUGUCCUGCCUCAUAGCUUGAGGACCAAAAAUCUAAUUCAGCCCUCAGAAUAUCGCACUCAUAAAUUAUUAAAGUUCCAGUAAAAGAAACUUUUACUCUAAAAAUAAACGCAAUGAUGAAUCAAAAUCCAUUUUGAUUGCUAUGCCUAUAUAUCAAUAACAACUAAAGUCCACAUUACAGAAUAAUGACAUUUUAUACAUAGAUUCUCUCAACCCAAAAAGCCUUCUCGGUUACACUUAUUCCACAAUGCACAUAAGCACAAUAAUAAUCUUUUUCUAAAGCAAUAUUUCACUAUAAAAUCAUAAUAUUAUUUUUUAUUAGACUUUUUAUCAUUCUAUAAAGCAUAAUAAUAUCAGUUUGGAACAUAUCAUAUGUGGUGCUAUUUUUUUUUCUUUCAGAGAAAGAUUACAAAUAAGCUAUCCGCUUUAUUCAUUUUUUUUAAAAAAACUCCACUCAAAAUGAAAAAUAAUUAAACUUGGAACUAAUACGGUGCAAAUUUCGAAAUGACUUUUGUGGCUUUGUAAGUUAUAGGAAAAACUUUAAAAACCCCUCAUGUGGUUUCAUAGUUUCUCACUUUUGCCCCCUGUGGUUUAAAAUGUAUCAAUUUGUCCUCCUGUGGUUUCUUUUUUUUUUUUUCUUAUCAAUUUCAUUAUUUUUUUUUUCUUAAAUCAAUGAUAAAGUUAAAAUUAAAGGAUACUAAAAUGAAUAUUUGAUAAAUCUAGAUGGGUAUCUGAAGUUUUUUGUAUAUAAUUCAAUAAAAUAUUAAUGAAAAAGCUACUGAAAAGAUAAAAACGAAACCACAGGGGGACAAUUUGAUACAUUUUAAACCAUAGGGGGGCAAAGUGAGAAACUACGAAACCACAGGAGGGAUUUUUGAAGUUUUUCUUAAGUUAUAUUAAGAAACAAGAGCAAUAACCAAUUGUCUCUAGAGCAAGUGGCAAAAGGCUUGAUGGUUGGUACUCGAGACCCAAGUUCGAAUCAUAGUUGAUUUAUAUUUCUAGCUAAGUUUAUUUCUAAAUGAAAUAAACGAAGCACCUAGCGUGCUUGUGUCAUUAGAAUCUUUUAAAAAAAAUUAGUUAAUUAUAAAUAAAAUAUUUAAUCUUAAUUAGUUAAUGAGGUAAAUUAAUUUUUUUUUAUUCUUUUUCAAUUAUCAUUAGAAUAUUAAAAAAUUAUAUAUUUAUAAUAACAAAAAGAUCAUUUUAUUUAUAAAAUAAAUAAUACUUUAACUAAUAAAUCAGAAGGAUAUAUUUCAAAAUAUUAAAAUUUUUUCUGUGACAAUAUAUAAAAGUUAAAUUUUAUAAGAAUAUAUUUAUAAUUUACUCUAUUUGUAAGGUGAUGUAUAAAAUUAAUCCUAAAAAAAAAAAAAAAAAAACUUUUAUCACUCCGUUUUCCACUUCAUCAAACAUUCCUCCACUCAACGAGCAUAAUUUUUUUUUUUUAAAAAAAAAAAAACUCUAAUUGGUCUCUAAUGGCGGAGGGUUCCUCCGUGGAGGUCAACAAUGGCGAUGGAGGAGGAGGAGGAGGAGGAGCGGGGCAUCCGUACGACUUCCACGUGGCGGGCCCCCGCAGCAUCGCCGCCCCCACCUGGAGAGAUCUCCUCCGCUCGAGCUGGUUCGUCGUCGUCUCCUCUCUCUCUCUCUCUCUCUCUCUCUCUCUCUCUCUGAGUUUUACCAAACCUCGCAGUAGUUGAUCGUUAUCUAGGGUUUUGUUUUUCUUUGGUGGAGCUAUUCACAAUCCCCAAGAUUGAGUUUUUUUCUUUUUUUCUUUUUUUUUUUUGGGGGGGUGAGAAUUUUCCUCGGUUUAACUCAUUUUUAUUUUAAGUAGCUCAAAAAAUUAUACUUUUACUUAUCUUGUUUAACAAAUUAUACUUUAUUAUUUUAUAAUUUUAUUUUUAUUUUACUGUAAGUAUUUAUUAUUAUCAGAAUUUCGUGACGAUUGAUAUAUAGGUUUAAAGUUUGCAGCCUAGUUUCCGUCUAUUUUUAGUUGUUUUUUAUUAAAUAACUGAAGGAAAUAAUUUUAUACUUUUUUCAAAAAGAAAAUUUUGCGUAGAAACAAAAUUAUAAAUGAUUGAUAAUUUUGUUUGCACUAUACGAUAGCAAAGUAAAAAUAUUCUAGUACUAUGGGAUAGGAAAUUAAUGUUUACCCAUGAUUUUGCCUCAUGAAUUAGCAAUGUAAUGCAUAUUAUUACUAAUGAUUUUGUUUUAAAAUAUAAUUCAAGUUCAGGCCUGACGUAUGGGAGAUCUUCGAAUGCAAUUUUUUUUAAUUUAAUUUUGGAGAAACUUCAAAUAGCAUUUCUAUUAUUUCACAUUUUCUCACUUUAGUAUUUUAUGAUUUAAAGUGUAUCAAUUUAGUAUAUGCGGUUUUAUUUUAUUUUUUUUUGUCAGAUUUUUUUUUCGUUAAUCAAUGACAAAGUUAAAAUUAGAAUGUAUUAAAGUGAAUAUUCGAUAAUAUGAAGUUUUUUAUAUAUAAUUUAACGAAAUGUUAAUAAUGGAGCUGAUGAAAAAAAAAAUACAGAAUAUUAAAUUGAUUCACUUUAAAUUAUAGAAUACUAAAGUUAGAAAGUGUGACGAAAGUUUGUAUUUUUUUAUUGUCUCUCAUGGUGCGCAACUGCCAUAUAAUUUAUCAUCAUCAUCAGUGUGCAGAUUGAAGAUCUUGAGCUGCUUGUUCUGCUUUUCAAUUUGAUUCUUUCAGGAAGAAUCCCAGUUACAGAAGAAUGGUCAUUGCCUGCUUCAUUCAAGCAGUCUACCUGCUGGAACUGGACCGGCAAGCCGAAAGGCGCGGAGAUCGUGGCCUCGCGCCGCAAUGGUGGAAGCCAUUCAAGUACAAGCUCUCCCGGACCCUGAUCGAUGCGCGCGACAAUUCCGUCUACGGAGCAGUCCUAGAGCGGGACCGGUCGGCCGCGCUCUCCGAUUUCAUCCCGGUAAGGCCGAGCGGCGCGCCGAGGGCCGUCUUAGCCCUCAGGGGAACACUCAUAAAGAGCGCGACUGUAAGGCGGGACGUCGAGGACGACCUCCGGUUCUUGGCCUGGGAAAGCUUGAGCGGCUCGGUCCGCUUUUCCGGCGCUCUCGAAGCCCUGAAAACCGCGGUUGACAGACAUGGCAGCAGCGGGGUCUGUGUCGGCGGGCAUUCGCUGGGGGCCGGUUUCGCUCUCCAGGUCGGAAAAGCGCUUGCGAAACGAGGCGUGUUCGUGGAGUGUCACUUGUUCAAUCCGCCGUCGGUUUCGCCCGCGGUGAGUCUGAGGAGCGUCGGCGAGAAACUCUGCAAUCUUUGGAAGAGGGUUAAAGGCGGAGAGGAGGGGAAGGUGUUUGAGAGCGAGGUGACGAGGCUGCGCGCCGCGGAAGUGCAGAAAUGGAUGCCGCAUUUGUACGUGAACGACUGCGACUACGUCUGCUGCUACUACAAUGAUCAGGCAGCAGGAAGUGCAGUAUCUAGUGAUCAUGUCGGUUCGUCGGUCGCGAAGCUUUACGUGAUGUCGAGGGGGCCGACGAAGUUCCUGGAGGCGCACGGCCUGCAGCAGUGGUGGUCCGACGAUGCGGAGCUCGAAUUGGCUCUCCGCCACGGCAGGCUCAUAAACAGGCAGUUCAGGUCUUUGUACUCCGCGUGAUCGGCAUCGCGCACCGGAAAUUCGGAACUUGUUAUAAGAAGGAAAAAACAGUGAACUCUUUGAUUACUCAUUGAUAGUGAUUUGGUGGAUGAAGUGUAAUUCAUUCUUAAAGUUUAAAUUUUUUCUUUCUCAAAGAUUUAAAAAAAAAAAAACAUAAGAAAUUUGAUAAAAUUCGACUCCACUGGGGAUCGAACCCAGAAUCUCUGGUUCCGUAGACCAGCGCCUUAUCCAUUGGGCCAUGGAGUCGUGUGUUCGAAAAUGUUUAAUUUUAAUAUUUAAUUUAUAUAUACUUUUAAAACUUUUUAGGGAUAUUAUUGGCAUUUUUUAAGUUUAUUCAAAAUAGAAUUAAAGACACUGUACAACACAAGAAACAAGCCUGCUAAUUCAACAAGUAAACUUACAUACUAUUAUGUGACAAUGUGUAUUUAUCAUCUGGAUAUGAGUUUUUUUUUUUUUUUGAAAAAAAUAAAAAAGAAAAAAUAGUGUCUUUCUUGAGUUUCCAUAAUUCCAAAAGCCAUGAAAGUGGAUUUUAUCUGAGCAAUUCUUGGCAUUGAUAUGUUAUGUUUAGUUGCAGCUGUUUCUAGAAUUACCCCAUUCAAUAAAGACUCAAUAUCAGUUUAUCUUUUUUUUUUUUUUUUGGCGGGGGUCAUAUUUAUGCAAUUUUACAUUAAAUUGGAUAACACUUUAUCUGAUUGAGAAAAUAAGAGAAGCUACAGGGAAAAAUAAGCGUAAAGAGCGCAAAUUCAUACAUUUCUAUGCAAAUAACAUUAACUCAAGAUAAUUGAUUUCAAUAUUUACUGUCUCACAUUCAAAACAACCUACCUUUUGCUUCCUCAAAACUCUCACGAAAAAAGAAAAAGAAAAAGAAAUUUUAAAUGAAACCGCUAUUCAACUUUCUUACUUUCGUGAAGCAUUCUUGGUACAUUCUGUAUUUAUUUUUUGUGCCGCAAAACAUAAUCCUGCCCUAAAGACUAACAGUAGUUGAAUCUUUAGUUACAUCCUUAGUCGACAGGCCCAGCGCCUCUGCGAUGCUUUUCACCUCAGCAAUCAUCGCCACCACGUCGUUGAGCUUAUUUACUGCCGAACCAAUACCCUGCAUUCGAAUUAAGAGGAGUCAUUAGUCACGGCGGGUAAUCAACCAUUCGCCAUGACGAUGAAUCUUACACAAGUUCUUCGAUGCAUAUCGAAUUCAGCUUCAGAAAUGCACUUUUAAGUUUAUAAUAAUAUUUUGGUGUAAUGAUUGUAAUCUACAUGAGGUGUUAUGUCCAAAGUUUAUGAAUGUACACCCAAAAAACUGGAUUAUAAAUGAUAAUUGUUGAGAUCAAAGUUAUGCCGAACCAUAUGAGAUUGGUUUUCCCAUUGGAACUUCUGACAACCAGACCAGUUUUUUAAGAACACGGUUUAUUUCCUCUUUUUUCUUCAGUGAGGAGUGAAGUAAGAAAAUUAUGAGUAUCAGAGAGAUUACAGAAUAAAAGAAACAAAUAUACAUACCACACCAGCUGCUCCUGCUGUUAAGGCCAUUGGUGCGGUAACAGCACUUAGUCCAGAUGAACACAUUACUGGAACGGUGACCGCCCGAGAAAUGGAAUACGCAGCUGCUAAUGUAGGUGUUGCCUGUAAUAACCAGUUCUUAGGGUUACAAUGUCGAUAAUAAAUGAUAUUUAAGUUGGUCAAGAGAUAAUAAUAUAAAUAAAGGUUGUGGUUCAUUCUCUGCAUUAUUAUCCUUUUCUCAUACCUUCUCAAUUAAGCCAAGAACACCAGGCUUUGUGGGAGUAGAGCAUUUUCCACCUUCGGUCUGGAUUAUAUCAGCGCCUUCCUCUUCGAGAAGCUCAGCAAGCUUCACCUGUUGCGUAUGUUAGCAUGUAUAGUAAGACCAAAUUCCCCCUGUAUAAUUCUCGACAACAUCGCACUCUAAAAUACUUCAGCAAGACAUUAUUUACCUGAUCAGGGAGACUUAGUGUGUGAGGUAUGGUGACUGAUAGUGUGAGGAACGGGAGAAUCCUCCUUGUCUCUUGUGUCAGCUUUAGUAUCUGUUAUCAAUUAAACUAUGAAUGAGCGAACUUUAAUGAAAGAUCAACCAUGACCAAGUUCAUACAAUGAUAUUAGGAACAACAGAAGAAACAAUUUAGUAACAAGUGCAUUAGGCAGUGUAAAGAAACACUUAAUAUUAACAGAAGUUCUAGUAUUGAUAGCUACAACUAUAGUCCUACCUGCUCCGGAGAAAACUGGAUACCGAGCUCAUAAAAUGAAUCGUAAUUUCCGAUCUCAAUCUGCAUCAAAAAAUGUUUUUGAAGUUGUUGGGACUACGACAUAAAUGUGAAGAGGAAUGUAACCCAAUUAGCCUGCAGAUUUAGGAUCCUGACCAUUUGAGCACCUGCUUCAACUGCAGGAGCGAAUGCUAGGGGAUCGACAGAGGACACACAAAUCUGCCAACAAUCGCAAGCAGCUUUUACAUAAGAGUUAGAAACAACAUAUUAUGGCAGAAGUAUGACUAAUUUCAGAUUAAGUGAAUAAAAUAUCAUUUGAUAGUUGUAAUCUGUAGGAAUGUAAAACCUUUUUUUUCAUUUUUUGGCAGAUAAUAUACUGUAGGGUGAUUCCCUAUGUUUCUCCCAUGUCCAAAUACUAAAAUUUUAAAUUUUUAUUAUGGUUCAUCAUUUAACAUAAACAUUAACAGAUUGCUAUUUGUUUUCUUUAAUGGACAAAAAAAUGAAAUAAUAGUUCAAACAUGUUAUAAAUUUAUGCUACACCAUUGAUUUUGUAGAAGUUGUGCCGAAGGGCCAGAUUGUUUCAUAUUGGAAUGGUACUUUCUAAUAGUUGAUAAAUGUUGAUGACAAAGUACUAAAUGUUACACCAAAAAAAAGCAAAAAAAUCACCUUCAGAACCUCAAUGUUCAUCGCAUAACUAUAUGCAGAGUCAAAGAGGGAAUAUAAGAAAUAAAGAAAAAACGAUGAGAUUGUCGAGAAGUUGUAAGGUGUUAAAGCAUUGCACCGCAAUAAGUUAGCAACUUCUGCACUAAUUUGAGCACGAAUGCUCGAUAUGUUUUUCACAGGCCACUGUUGCUUAUAAUAUGAAUAUCUGAGCUUUCCAAAAGAAAUAUAAGAGUUUACCGGAAGAGAGGUUAAGUUCAUGGCAAGUUUCACCAACUCCUGAUCGCAUGCUAUAUCAACAUGAGUGGCACCUCCCUGUAAUUUAUGCAUAUAAGUAUAACAUGACAUUACUAUGAGAAGGCAACUUUUGUAGAAGAAAAGACAAAAGAGGAAAUCAUGAAGUGCAUAAACAAAAUUAUGAAAAGUAAAAAAAAAAUAAAAUUAUUAGAGAUAAGAAGGCUAAAUUGAAAAGCAUAAUUUACACUCGCAUCAGCAUCACUAUAAAAAGUCAAACAAUGUAAAUAAGUGAAAAGCCAAUUUAUACUGAAGGUAUAGCUGAUAUGAGGCAUAAGUAUUAUUCCCGCAGUUAACAGUUUGAGUUAAAAAUGUUCUGCACCCUGUUAUUAAUAUACUUAAACAAAUGUAUCGGUAACAGGUAAAGGUACACACCGGGACCAAACCAUGUUUUCAGUAAUUCCACUGCAAGGAUACGUUUCAAAUUUCAUCGAGUACUAUUCAAGACUUGGCUCAAAGAAACUUUACAAAUCAAGUAUGUAUUAUCUUUGCAACAAUCUGCAAAAGUUCUAUAUUUGCGCUCCUAUAUUUAAACAACUUUCUUUCCGCUGCGUGACAAGAAACAUAAAAAUAGCAAGAUUUGCAUUAUUCAACGAGCAGACAAGUAUAGAGAACCAAAGCAAGUUUAACGCAGAAUAUGUCAACACUGGAGAAUCAAGAAGAAAAAGUGGAAAUAAAAUGGCCAUGAUCAUCUGUAUAGGAAAUAAAAUGACAAAUCUUGCUAAGGCCGGAUAAUUUGGGGGGUGAAAAAAGAAAUUUAGAGUGCAGGUAGUUGUGUUUUACAUUUUGCCAGCUUCUUCGCAAAUCAAAUUGCAUAGAGUGAAGCAUGUCAUACAGCGAAGAAGGAAAAAGCCAAAAAAAAAGAAAAAGAAAAUCAUGACAGAAAAGCAAACCUGAUCUGCUGCUAUAACAACCGAAGCAACUCUGUCCUUGUCGAAAUUCUGAAGACCAGAGAUGAUCUGCACUAAAAGAAAAUAUAUGUAAACAAUAGCGAGAUUCGCGUGAGGAAUGACUAGUACACAUAGAGCCACAAUGAAAGAUAGGAUUUGCAUAAGAGGACAUGUAAUUUGCUUUCCGACAACCUGUAAGUAGUUAAUACUACAGUUAACAAAGUUUUUGUUAGAAAUUUUUAGAUAGUAAGUUGUUUUUCGUCUCGAAUUUCCUUAGACUUGAUCGCAUUAGCUUAACAUUUAUGUUGAGACAAAAAUUCAAAAAUCAGAGGAUUAAUAUUAAAGACAGUUGCCCACUAAACAUAGAUUCUAAGUAGAAGGUAAAUUUUCCUUUUUUUUUUUUCUUUUUUGGUUUUUUAUGCACAUAAAUCAUUUAAUUCAGUUCAGGAUAAAGAUUUUUCCUUAAAUCAAUUCACAUAAGUGUAAAUCUAUUCUUGAAUAUCUAGGAGCAUAAACCAUCACAUUACAUCCAAGUUUAUGUGCACUAGUUCUGAAUAAACUUUGUACAAAUCUAAAGCAAAUAUCCAAAAAAAAAAAAGAAGAUAAAAUACAUACAAAUAUCAUAAAAACCUUCAAAAGCACUAUUACAUCGUGCUACAACUGAAUUGAUCACUAUGUUAGGUAUGUACUAGUUUUUGCCAUACAGUAAGCUUAUUACUACUAACUAUUCUACUAAUCAUAGGAUGAUAUUAUGCGGCAUAAAACACAUUAUCAAUCCUUUUAGUCAUUUCGACAAACAAUUGGUGUGCAAGGCCUAACAUCUCUAAAAAAUAAAAAAACAACAAAAGUAUGUACACCCCCAUCUACUGUCCCGAUAUUGCGACUAUAUAUAUUUUUUUACUUGAUCUGUCACAUAUAGUACACUUCCGUAAAUCCGAUUCUCUAUGUAAAAUGGCCAUUGAAUCCUUAAAUGCUCAUUUUCAUAAGAAAAAUAAGUUUUUUUUUUUUUUUUGAAGGCGGGAGACAAAAAGUGCAAUAUAUGUAGAAAUUCAGCGACAAAAUUAUUUAAUUGAAAAGUUUAUGGACCAAGUUUUAUCCUUCUUAUGGAUACAGUGAAACCGAGACUGGUUUUGUCAAAUUGAAGCUGUAAAAAAGAAAAAUCCAAAGGUGAGACCUUUAGAGCUUUUUUGUCCCGAAAAUCUCUAAGAACGAGCUCCUUCGAGCUCGAAGCCGAAGCUCUCGCCGCGAGCAAAGCCGGGGCACUCCGCGCGGAGCCAAAGCGGCGGCGGGGGUUGCUGCGGAGACGAAGAAGGGUCUGGGGGUUGUGUCGGAGGAGGAGAGCGGAAUCGGAGUGGCGAUUGAGGGUGGAGAAGGGUUGGAUUGGGAGGGUUCCAAUUUGAGCUCCAAGAGCCAUUUCUCUCGGAGAGUGGGGGAUUAAGAGGGAAAGGGAUAAGAUUUUGAAAUGUGGAGAGAGAGAGAGAGAGAGAGAGAGGUGGAAUGGUUUAUAAAUAUCCAAGAGUUGCUAAGAAAAUGAAAUAGUAAUGAUUCACUCUCAACCGUUCAUCACUUUAAGAGUAGUAAAUCAUCAUGUAAAUCGUAAUGUUGUGGGUAAAGCAUUACUCUUUUGAGAUUGUGUUAUACUUUUUACUUUUGUAAAUUCCAGUAAUAAACACCUUUUUGUAGCGUAAAAUCAUUAAAGUGAACUCUAUCAUUCACACAUUUUUGCAAAUAGAUAGAUCACAGAUUCACAAAGCAACACCAUUUCGCAACAUAAACACCAAAGCCUUAUUCCAAGAUCACGAAAACUGCGGAAGAAAACACAUAUUUAGCAGUAGCAGUGAUAACUUAAAAAAGUAAUUACUACAUGGAUAUCGCCACAGAGGCAUAACCACAAACACCUGGCGCUCGUCGAAUUAUAACCCAUUCAUCCUCUCGAUCACGGUGAUGACGCCCUGCAUCCCCAGUUUCCCGUCCCCGUUCGCCACCAUUCCCAGAAACAGCUUCUGGAAAAGCGCUGCGCCGGGAAGCACCACCACCGCCCCCUUCUCUUUCGCGUCGUCGUCGUCGUCCUCCUCCUCCUCCUCAGCUUCUUCGACUCCUCUCCCCAACGCCAUCCCGAGAUCCUUCACCAUGUACUCGACGAACCCACCCGAGGCGAAGUCCCUCUCCACCAUCCUCCGCCCGAAGAUCUCCGCCACCCUCGACCCCGCCGCGCCGGCGCCCACCGCCUCCAUGAACGUCGCGGCGUCGAGCCCCGCCGCGCGCGCGAACGACGCCGCCUCCGCCGCGCCCACCACCGCGCCGGCCACCGCGAUCUGGUUCGCGAUCUUCGCGCUCUGGCCCGUCCCGGGCGCGCCCAUCCACGUCGCGCGCCCGAGGCGGCCGAGGAGCGGCGCGAGCCACGCGACGACGCGCUCGUCCCCGCCCGCGAGGAUCGCGAGGGUCCCCUCCCGGGCGCCCACGUCGCCGCCGGAGACGGGCGCGUCCACGGCCCAGCACCCCUUCGCGCGCGCCGCGGCGGCGACCGCGCGCGCGAGCGCGGGGUCGCUGCUGGUGCAGUCGACGAGGACGCCGCCGCGCGGGAGCGCGGCGAGCGCGCCGGACGCGGGGUCGAGCAGCGCGGCGCGCACGUCGGCGGGGUGGCCGACCAUCGUGAACACGACGUCGCUCGCGGCGGCGGNGACGCGGCCAGGCGCGCGCCGGCGCCGGCGAGGCCCGCCGCCUUGGACGGCGUGCGCGCGUAGACGGUGAGGUCGUACCCCGCGGCGAGGAGGCGCGCGGCCAUGGCGCCACCCAUGACCCCGACCCCGAUCCACCCGAUCCGGGUCGAACCCGGCCGGAUCUCGACCGGGUACCCCCGCUCCACCCCCGCUGCCCCCUCCUCCUCCCCCUCCUUCUCCAUUGCUCCUUCACACACACACACCCCCCCUCUAAACAAAACCCCCCAAACCCUAACCCGCCUUUAUUAUCCCAAAGCACGCCGCAUGAGGACAAAAUAAAAAUCCCAUUUUUACUAGAAAGUGCGCACCAAAACCGUCAAAAUUGGCAUCCGCAGCAGAGGAAGAAGCAGGAGAGGGCGAGAACGAGGACCACGGCUUCGACGACGGAGAGGAUGCGGAAGAGGACGUCGUCGACGAGGGAGAAGCGGAAGCUCAAGCGCGUCCACUUCCACGAGGGCGAGAAGGAGGAGAAGAAGCUCGGUUUCCAGCUCCUGGGCCCGCGUCGUCCCUCCUUCGAAUGCUGGAGCUUCCGAAACCACCGCGUCGCCAUUAACGGCGAGGAAGAGCCCUUAUUAAAAAAAAGUACCCGUUUUCCUCGUCAAUGGGGACGGGGACGGGCAUGGGGGGUGCGCUUUAAAGUAGGGAAAGGUCAGGGGUUUUUUGGAAAUUUCGACUAUACGCGGUUUCAAAAGCUGGUGAAGAGGUGGCCGAGGCAGUGGGACUGUGGGAGGAGACUACUACUAUGUGACUUUGUAUGUGCUGGAACUUCGAUUUUUUUUAUUUUUAUAUUUAUUUUUAUUUUUUUUAAUUUAUUCUUUGCUUAGGGAUCAAGGUUUGCAUCAUUUUUGGCUUCCACAGAGGAUGUUGGAAAAUUAUGUGUCAUCAUUUUUGACCUGACCAUCUCUAUUUGUACCCACAUAUAUUCGUAAAUUAUUUAUAAAUUUAUAUUAAUUAAAAUUAUGGAUAAAAUUGAUGAGUAUUUUUUUAAUUAUGAGCAUUUUUUGUAACCUACGAAUGCUCAGGAAUACCCGCAAAUAUUUUUUAAUUAAAAAGUUUUUUUUUUUUUGUCUAUUCAUCUUAAGAAUUAUAGAUCUAAUUGAUUCUCAUGUGUUUUUCUUUUUCUUUUUUUUUUUGGAUGCGGCUUUCUCUCCUACUAUGAUGCCUCUUCCGCCGCACUGCUCUAUCACUCUACGAUGGACCGGUCUAUAUGUAAAAUACUUUUAGAUAUAAUUUAUAUGUUUUAAGACUUUAUUAGUAUUUAUUAUAUAUUUUGAUAUUUCAAACAACAAGUUAUAUUAUGAAUUUUUAAAAACUAUGUACAUGUGUUUUGUAUUUGGAAAGUAUAGAAUUAAAAAAAAAGAAAAAGAAGAACAUUAUACUGGUAACCUGCAUGCCCACCCUUCCGAUCCUACAUGGACGAGUAUAUGUAAAAAUAUAGGCUAUUAAAAAAUUUGCGGAUAAAUCUUACCCUCUGCGGAUAAAUCUUACCCAUACCCAUAUAAUUCGAUGGUACAAUAAUCCAUCAUCAGUUUAUCCAAUUCAUCUAGUCAUCUUAUCUGCCUAUCUCUCUCCUAUUUCUCUCUCGUUCAUUUUUCUCCUCUCAUUUUAUAUCCUACCUUUUCAUGGUCUAUUUUUGCAAAAUUCAGUGAUUUUUUUUUUUUUGCUAAUUAGUCAAAAUACUGUGGUGGACAAGCAAUUAAAAUUUUGAAAUUAUUGAUAAGGAUGCUGUAAGAAAACAUUGAUUAAAACAAAAAGGUAAAAAAAAUGUACAGAACGUAUCUGAACUUGAAGUAUUUUGAGUUGACUAUCCAAUCAUUUAAAAUUUUAAUUUUACUAUCCAACAUUUUCAUUUAUUUGAUCCGAGGCAGAUCAACAACACUUUGACUUCAAAUUUUUAAUAUUUUAUCUUUUUUGUAAGUUUUAAUGCAAUUUUUGCAACUAUAAAUUUAUUAAAGUGAUAAGUUCAAAUCAAACAAAUUAAAAGAUUAAAUAAUAAAAUCAAAAUUUUAAAAAUAAUUUAUAAUUUAAAUAAAUUUUGUAUAUUUUUACCAAAUAAAAAAUGCAUUACAUAGACACCAUAAAAGACUGUAGAAUCGGAUGGUGAUAGUGGCCUAAUAAUAUACUAAGAGUUACUUCUAAGAAAGAUCUAGAAUAAUGUAGAGACUUGUGGUCAAUAUUACCUGUGUUACAUAUUUUGAUGGGUUAGGGGGUGUUAUCAAUCAUGCUGCUGUUGACUUAAUUCAUCUCUAAGAUUUGUCUUGAGAUUUGGUCUUGCGUGCAUUUUUUGCCCGAUUAGAAAUUCUACAAAAUAUUAUUUACGUAAAUGAGAAUUUUAUCUUAUUCAGAUUUAUGAUGCACGAUUAACUUGUAUAUACAUAUUUUGAUGGAUUAAGAAUUUUCAAUUAUACUACCACAUGUAAGAUUUGUCUUUAGAUUUGGUCUCGCAUGCAUCUUUCGCCUGAUUAGAGAUUUUGCAAAAAUAUUGUUUACGUAGACGAUAGUUUUAUCUUAUUCAGACGUGUGAUGCACGGUUGAGACCACACCUAAUAUAAUAACAACGGCAUGCAGUCAUUAGUCCGGCCAGAACUUUGUGUUGAACUCCUACAUCAUAUUAAAGAGCUUGAAACCAAUCCAUAAGCCUAACUUAUAAGUGAAAUAUUAUCCACAUUAUAUAUAUAUGUGGAUAAGAUUUCUUUUUGUACCUAAUAUGGGACUAUUCGUGGUAACACAUAUAGUAAAUUCAAUUUGGAAAUAUAUGCAGCUGCACUUUUUACUUGUUAAUCUCAGUUGUUGAUGAGGCUUUGAAAAUUAUUAGGACUAAAAGUAUGGUUUGUUUGUCUACUUUUUCUGGUUUUAGCUUUAAUUGAUGGAGAUAGUUAUGUAACAACUUAAACAACUAAUUCCUUAUUAUAGGUAUAAUUAUUAGGGAAUUAUGUAGUGUUUCUAAACUUCUUAAAUGGACGCAGAUACCUUCUUAACUCCAACUAAAAAAAAGGAAAAGAAAAAGAGAAGUAUAAAACUACAAGCUAAGGCCUCGUAAUCUAAAAGAGAUUCAUAAACGUGAUGGGCACGUCUAAAUUAAUUUUGGCAAUGUGUUGGAAUCUUUUUUUUUCUUUCUUUUUUUUUUUUCCGGAUGAUUUGUUAAAAGUAUGAGAUGAGAUAGAAGGGAAUUGCAAAGUGAUGCAUAAGCUGAUAUUGGAUCAUCUUAUAAUAUCGAGUUUAGUUUUAAGCACUCCUAGUUCCGAUAGGUCUUUGGUUCAGUUGGUUUUCGAUCGAAUCUGCCAUUUUAAUGCCAUUAAUUUCUGCACGUAUAAUUUAUUGUUCAUUAUCUCUUUCUCUCAAAAUAAAUAGCAUAGUUAAGUUGAUAUUUUCUGCACAUAAGAGUAGAGUUACAAAAAUUAUUUAUAAGGGGGUUCUAUCUGAUUGGCUUAAAGGGACUAACACCCUAUCCUAUACCGGAAGGGUAGUUCGGACUGAGUCACCUUUGAAAUAAUGGGAGGUUGGAUUGGAUUGAAUCAUAUUCGAAAUGACAGGGAGGCUAAGUAGGCUGAGUCACAAUUGAGACUUGUGAGUAUUGUGUCUACAUGCAAGUAAAUUGGUUAUAUUUUUUUAACAGCUCAAAUUUUUGAAUUAAUGAUUUGUGCCAACAAUCUAAUUACAGCAGAUACACGCAACAAUCUCUCUCUCUCUCUCUCUCUCCUUGUCUUUUCUUUCUCAUAUUUUAUCUUAUUUUGCUCUAACAAGGCAUCCCUUGCUUCCAAAGAAUUAAUUGAGAAGAGUGUGGGUGAGGACUUUUUUCAAAAAUAACUCUGUGAAAGUUCGUAUUUGCCAAACUAACCCUGUGAAAUUUUUAUUUGUAAAACUAACACUCCUUUCGCCACGUGGGCGCCACGUCAGGGAUUCCUCAAAAAGGCGGUGAAUCGUUCACCGUCUUUGUAAUUUUUGUUUAAAAGCGAUGAAUGGUUCACCGUCUUUAGAAGAUGGUAAACCAUUCACCGCCUUUAGUGCAAAAUUUUUCUUUCCGCCCUUUUCCCUUUCCGUCCUCUCAAGUCCGCCUUUUCUGUGCCCUCGAGAAGACGGGGAACGAUUCACCGUCUUAUCAAGAACACCAUAUUAUGGACUUGGAAAGAUUUGCGCAGUGUAGGGAUUUGUACUAAAGACGGUGAAUGGUUCACCGUUUUAUAAAGACGGUGAACCAUUCACCGCCUUCACAACAAAUAUCAAAGACGGUGAACGAUUCACCGCCUUUGUGAGAAAUCCCUGACAUGGCGCUCACGUGGCGAGAGGAGGGUUAGUUUCAUAAAUAAAAAUUUCACAGGGUUAGUUUGGUAAAUACGAAAUUUUACAGGGUUGUUUUCGAAAAAAGUCCGUAGGUGACAGAUAAAUGUGGGGAAUUUAAGUAAACAUUGUGAUGUAUUGUAGGGACCAUUUUAGAACUCAUGAAAACAACUGUUGUGACUUGUCAAAAAGAUAAUAAUAAAUGAAAAGCUUUGUUUGAGGGUUGAGUGAUAGAGAAUUAACUUUUAUUAUUAUCAUUAUUAUCACCUUAUCCCCUAUGCCUAUUAACAAUCACAUCUUUACUCAAGCCAGUUUAAAACACUGCUGUAUAACAAGUAUUUCAUACAGAGUAAUAACAUUUAAUCAAACAUUUUUAUUUCGUAUAAAAAUAUAAGAAUAAUUUUUAUACUAAGAUGAUCAGACUAAUUUUGAAUUAUUUUGAUCAAAAGUAUUAAGAAUAGUACUGAAUUAUAUUCAGUACUUGCAGAUAAGGGGAGAUAGUAAGACUAAUUUUAAAUUAUUUUAUAUCAUAUUAAUCUUAAUUUAUAUUUUAUAUGGUUGGAUAAAAUUGAUCAGAUUCAAAUACUAUGGGGAGUAACUACCACAAAACAAAACUAUGUUUAGAGCAAAUCAAGAUAAUAGUAUAUUCAAUGGAGACUAAUAACACUGAAGUAGUUCAAAUACGUUCUCAAAUCUCACGGUUUUAAGGAACGAAUUAAUCUAGAAGGUUCUGGUUGGUGUGAGGGGCCACAACACGAAACAGCAGUACAAGUUAAUUGCAUUCUAGCCCCUGAACUUGUCGACUAAUUUCAAUUUGGUCCUCUAACAUCUAACUUAUUGCCUGCACCAGGAGUAUGCAUAUUUUAUAUACAUAUAUAUAUAUAUAGAGAGAGAGAGAGAGAGAGAGAGAGAGAGAGAGAGAGUGGGCUGGUAUGCUCAUGGAAGCACGGAGCCCUCCGUGCUUCCAAGUUGUUUUCGAUGUUCGGACUUUCGAAUCGACGAUUCGCUCCGUUAGAGUUGAUCUAGAGUAUUUGAAGCACCUAGAAAAUAAAUUUUGUGAUUUUUCGAUAUCAUUUGCCUAGUGAUCGAAGGGGCUCAAAAACAAUAAUUUUAACGCUGUGGUGAGCCGGUUGCAAGUUUAACGGUAUAGAAAUAUCCAAAUCACAUGAAGUUUUGAUAGAAAAUUCUUUAUACCAUAUAAAACAAGAUCAAUAACUUUGAUCUAAAAUUUUAAUGUCAUAUCAUCAUAUUUUGUAAGAUUUUUAUUUUCAGCUGUUGAUUUUGAGCACUUCGAUUUACUAGGCAAAAUGAUAUCGAAAAAUUGCAAAUAUAUUUUCUAGAUAUUCAAAUACUCUAGAUGAAUCUAACGGAGCCGAUCGUCGAUUUGAAAGUCCGAACAUCGAAAACAAAGUGAAGCACGGAGCCCUCCGUGCUUCCAUAAGGCAUCUAGCCGCACUCAUCACUCUCUCUCUCUCUCUCUCUCUCGAUCUCUCUCUCUCUCUCUAUAUAUAUAUAGAUAGAGUGCAGGCUAUGUGCUUGUAAAAGCACCAAGCACUUGGUGCUUGUAAGUUUUGUACCGUUAGAUCUACUCCUCGGAUCAUUUUCAACCAUUAGAUAUACUAUUACAACCAACCCCCACUCAACCCUAAGGGCCCACAUCAUCCUAACACAUAUCUUCUAAUUCAAUGGCUAAAAAUCUAUAAACACCAAUAACUUGAUACUUUUAAAAGUAUAGAAGUAAAUUCUCUAAUAAUAUAUAUAUAUAUAUAUAUAUAUAUAUAUAUAUUAUAUAUCUAUAUAAUUAUAUAUAUAUAUAUAUAUAUAUAUAUAUAUAGAGCAGGACUGCUGUGCUCUCAGGAGCACGGAGGCCUCCGUGCUCCUGAGCCGUUUUCGAUGAUGGAAUUUUCAAAUCGACGAUAUGCUCCGUUAAACUUGAUCUAGCGUAUUUGAAGUUUCUAAAAAAUAAUUUUUGCGAUUUUUCAAUAUCUUUUACCUACCAAUCGAAAGGAUUCAAAAUUAAUAAUUUUUAACGGCUGAAAAUAAAAAUUCUAUAAAAAGUGGUGAUAUAGCACUAAAAUUUUCGAUCAGAAAUAUUGAUCUUGUUGUAGAUAGUAUAAAGAAUUUUAUAUCAAACCGUUAAAUAUUAUUUAAAGCAUUUAAAAUUUUUAGAAAUAAAAUUUUAUAAUUUUUGAUAUUAUUUAUUCUACGAUCAAAAAAUCUCAAAAUUGACAAUUUUUAACGGUCGUAUGAAAUUCUUACUAAUAUAAUGGUGUAAAUGAAUCAAAAUCUGCUAAAUUUUUAAUAAAAAAUUCUAUUUACCAUCUAGAUAAAGAUCAAUAACUCCGAUCUUAAAUUAAAGGAUUCGAUUAUCAAUUUUUAGAACGUCGUUUAAUUUUGACUGUUCAUUUUAUGCCCGUUUGAUAAAUUUUAUUAUGAUUUUAAAAAAUUAUGAAAUUUAUUUUUUAGAAGUUUCGAAAACUCUAGAUCAUAUUUAACGAAGUAUAUUGUUGAUUCGAAAACUUCAUCAUCGAAAACAAUUUAUGAGUACAAACGGCUCCAAACUCAUAAGAGUGUAGCAAUCCUACUGUUUUGCGUGUGUGUGUACUUUCAUGCAACACGCAUUCACUCAUGAUCGAUCUAAUCUUUUAUUUCAAUCCUAUGACACCCGUUUGAGUUGCUGAUUUUUCUCAUUUAAACAUCGAAUUGAUGGUUAAAAUGCGAGAUGGAUAUACAGAUCGAAGAACGAUAGAUUUGUAGUGUUCGAAAAUACGGAUGUACAAAGUUCAUGUUAUGUUCUUUUUUUCCAGCCCCAAUAUGAUAAAUUGAAUCACUUUCACAAGUUUGACUUUUUAAAUGUCUAAUGUGAAAGUUUAAUGCUCACAGUAACAUUUGACUAGGUAAAUGUCUAAUUUGAAAAUCAAACUGAUGCUAACCCCAACUAGAACAUCACGUACAGUGAUGUGAAACCCUAAUUCAUAUAUCACAAGUACCUAUUUACCGAGUGGAAGUUAAUAAUUAUAGGGUUAAUUUCAUACGGGUCCUAUAAAUAUGGUGAAUAGUAGAUAUAUUUCUGCAAAAUUUAACUUUCAUAAGUUAUUCCUACAAAAGUUUUAAUGUAUUAAAAAAUGUCUCUGCCUUUAACCGGCAUUCGUUAGAAAAAUUUCGUUAACCACAGUUAAAAUAUUUAAUCAUGAUUAAUUAAUAAUAUGAAUUGAUAAUUUUGUCUUUCUUCUUUUUUCUCUUCCUCUUCCUCUUCCUCUUCCACUUCCUUUCCUGCUUCUUCUUCUUCCUCUUCUUCUCCAUAUCCUUUUUUUUUUCAUCCUUCUCUUCUCCUUCUUCUUCUUCUUCGUUGUCCUCGAUGAUCCGAUCGUCGUCGCCGUCGUGGUGCCCGCGGCGAAGGCCGUCGUCACGGGCGCCUCCGAUGGCAUUGACCGCGCCUUCCCCUUCCGUCUCUUUCUCGUCCUCAUUGGCCGCAAUCCUGACAAGAUCCGCAAGGUCGCCGUCGCCGCCACCGCCGCUGCCGCCUCCCGCUCCCACAGCCUGAAGAGAAAGAGGAAGAGGGCAGGGCAAAAUUGUCAUUUCACAACUCUACUGUUAAAAAAUUAACAGUUCUCUAACAGAUCCUAACCAGAGGGACAUAUCUAAAUACAUUAGGACUUUUGUAGGAAUAACUUAUGAAAGUUGAACUUUGCAAUAAUAUAUCUGCUAUUCACUAUGUUUGCGGAGAUCUGUUGAAAUUAACCCAUAAUUAUAUAUGAGAAAAGGUAAAGAUCAAUAUAGAAUUUCUAGGAGACUCGGAUGAUAUAUGAGAUGGUGCCUACAUGUGACAGUAUUUUUUGCCAUGAUAAAUAUUUCUCAGCACAAUAUAUUAGUCACGACUAAGAGGUCAGGAGUUUGAUGUCCCAUAAGCGUAUUUUUAGUGAGGUGCUCAAGCUCUUAGCUUUUUGAGAAAAAAAUUACAUGAUCGCGUACCUAAGAGGGAUACUUAGAUGGAAACUACGGGAAUUUUUUCUUAAAAAAAUAGCUAAAUUAUACGUUUGGUUCUAAAUAAUGAGGCUUGCGAUACUUUGGUCGUCCAACUUUAAUUCAUAGUAAUUUUUAGCUCAAACUUGGUAAAUUGUUGGAAUCAAGUCACACGUGUUAAUUUAGUUCACUAAAUAUUGAUGUGUCGUUGAUGUCGAAGGGAUGUGGCAUCUUAAUUAUUAUUGUAUAAUCAAUUAUAAUACUGUCACAUCACUUACAUAUUAUAGACACAAUAGAGUAUUUAGUUAGCUGAAUUGAGUUGUGGGAUUUGAUUGCAAUAAUUUAAAAAGUUCAAACCAGAAAUUCUAAUAAAUUAAAGUUUGGGAAUAAAAGUAUCACUUGUCUCAUAGUUUGUGAAGCGAAAUUUUAACUUAGCCAAAAAAAAUCAUUAAUUUACUUAACAGGUUAUGGGCUAGGGUCCAAGGAAUUAGGGUCCAAGCCCAAUUCAUCGUAAUGGGUUUGAUACUCCUCCGAGUUUGUGCUUGGGCUUAAAAUCCUGCUAUAUAUUGUCUCAAUUUAAUUAAGUCAAGUUAUUUAUCUUUGUAGAUGGAAUAGAAACACCAAAAAUUAAAAGAAAAAUUAAAACAAUACCAUUGAUCGCAAAGUUUCGGUUCCUACACUUCAAUUUAUUACUAAUAACUUAUUGAACUUCAAUUGCUAUUUUAAUUAAAUUAUUUCAAAUUAAAUUAGCAGCUGACUUAGUUAUCACAACAUCUCUAAAAAAUAAUAGUGAUAUUCAUAUAUUUCCACAGAUGACACCACAUUUGAAUAAAUCACUUAUGGGCUUAACCACAAGAAGCCCAAACCUUCGCUUGCCGAGCCGGUUUGCUUGAAAUUGGAUUGGGCUCGAGCCAUGUGUCUAAUUCAACUCAAAGAUGAAGUUAAAGGUCCAAUUUCAAACUUGGAUUCGGGUAUAGAUUUGGUUCUGAUCUAGUUCAUUCAUCCAAAACCCUACUCUUAAUUCCCCUUGUAGGGUCUUUUUGAGCAUAUAUAACACUAUAUAUAUGUUUCUGUCCCUACUUUGUCUUAUCCGAAAAAGUGCUAAACUGGUGUCAAUGCCAAACUAGAUAUGCAUUUUCCUCAAAUAAAACCUCUACCACUAGAAUUAUCAUCUUCUUUAGAUCCUAUCUCGGAGAGAUCACAAAUAUAUUUCUCUAAUUUUCAGUAAAAGCGUACAUAUAUAUCUUAUUGCAAACGAACAAGCGCGAUCUACACAAUGCAUUAACUUUACAGAAAUAAAUAAAAUUUGUUUCUUCUAUCGUAUUUGCUCAUUGUCCUGGUCUGAUCUAAAGCAGUGCCUACACUUACAAGAUCCACCACCAUUUUGUACCCUCUAAAAAGAUAGAUCCACCACCAUUUUGUACCCUCUAAAAAGUUAUUUAUCUUAAUAUACAAAGUGCUUUUUUUUUUUUUAAAGAAAGUAGAUGAAUAAAAGUGUUUAUAUAUUUGGUGGAGACCACAUCCCAACCCCAGGGGCUCAGAUUCACAGGAGAGACAGACAUCUUUGUAGGGCUUUGAGUUUGUGAAACCCUAAUAAUAAAAAUGAAGAAGCUUAAUCAAUUAAUUGCAGGAAUAAAGAAAUGGAGGUUGACUUUUUCAUCCCCCACUUUUGCUCUUCUGCUUCUGGACCUGUGACAAAGCAUCACAGCUUUUGUCUCUCUCUCUCUCUCUCUCUCUUUGCAUUGCAUGUGGAAGCGCGCCAUGCACAUGCAUUUGUUCUCCCCAUGCUAAUUUGACCUAGGGUUAAAAAAUCCUUACUUGUAUAUUAACUCAUGUCUUAUAGCAUGUUAUGGUUAGAUCUUUUUAAUAAUAUGGCGUUGGCUUAAAUGUGCCAGCAUUAUGCCUUGUAGCGAAAUGACAUGUUGGACUGAGUCAUAUUCAAAAUGGCGUGAGGCUGAAUGGGCCAAGUCAUGUUCGAAGUGGCGUGAGGCUGAUUGGAUUGAAUCACAAUCGAGAUCCGUGAACGCUGUAUCUAUACACUUUAAGUUAAUUGGUUGUGUAUUUCUAACAGCUCGAGCUUUUGAGAUUAAUAGUUAGCACCAACAAUCCGACAUAUGGUAUCAAAGUCGAUCCUCGUAUGCAUGUGAUAUGGUUCACUUUUUCAUCAAGAAAGUAUAUUACAUAUAUAUUAUUGUUGUGUAAUUUUGUUUUUUUGCCGAGUUUUUGGGAAAAAAAAAAUCUAUGAGACAAGUUAUAUACCUCCCUAUUGAUUACAGUUUCUGAAUAAAAAAGUUGCGAAAUAAUUAUUAGUCUUUAAAAGUUAAUUUAAAUACAAGAAGAUCGUUUUUGAUUAUUUUAUACUUAAUUGAUAUCCCACUUUAGUUUUUCGAUAAGUUUUGAAUGAAAUGAAAAGGGUUAUUGUGAUUGGACGCAAUUGGCAGCAAAUGUUUUGUUCCUUUUUUAAAAAAGAAAAUAAACUCAGCUAUAAAUAUGAAAUAACUAGGUUAUGAAUUUGGAACAUUCUUUUUAUGCUUGAAGGGUAAAAUCACUAAAUAUUGAUCCAAAAAUAUGUAUAAUAAUAAUAAUAAUAAUAAAGGGUCCUAAAAUUAAUUAGUUGUUUUCAUGAUUUAUAUAUUAACCAAGAGUACACCAUGCAACUAUAUAUAUGUCUUAGAAAGGGUUACAUAGAAGCAUGCUUUUCUUUUUCCUUUUCCUGAAAAGCUUUGAGGCUUUUUAUGUACUUGCUAUGCUGAUGCCUUUUUCUCAUAAACUAAUGAGUUUUUUAUCCUAACAAAUAAAUUUUUUUUUGACAUGAAUUAAAUGCACAAGUAGUGCUGGUUCUUUAUUAUUGUACUUUUUUCCCACAUAAAUAAUAGAUUCUUCAAUGGUCCAGUACUCUUUAGAAUGCUUAAAGCAUCAAAUUGGCACAAAUUGCCAAAAAUUUGAGUCAAAAGAGCACUCAAGAGAAUAAGGUAAAAAAGUACAUAACUUCACUGAGGUAUGAACUAAUCUGAAUGAGCUACACAAUUUUUUAAAAUCUUUAAUUUAACUAUUGAAUAUUUUAAUUUGUUUGAGUUAAGUUAGUUAAUAAUACUUUGACUUUGAUUUUAAGCUAAUUACUAAUUUUAAUAAAUUUAUAAUUGCGUAAAUUAUUUUGAAGCAUACUAACAAAAGGUUGCGUCAUAAAAUCAAAAAAUUGAAAAGUUGGAGAACCCAUUCAAAAUGGUCUAUAAUUUAAAUAAGUUCUACAUGUUUUAAGCAAAAAAUAACCAAUCGGAAAAUGACUCAAAAUGUUUUUAAUGCUUGUGCUAAUAAAAAUUGUGAAAAUCAGAUUGACGAACCAUACAUUAUAUACACUAGCUGAAAAAGGUAACAAGCAUGAAGUAAUUAACACCAAAUUGUAUCCUGUAGGAUCUCUUGAAAUGAGAAACAUUAAUAGGACCAGUUCUGAUAUCAUAUUAAUUUUUUAAAAAAAUUAACUUUUUUAGUCAAAUAAAAUCCAAGAAAAAUAGAACAAAAUAGGACAUUAAAAGAAGGAGACAACAAAGCAGAGUGGGCAUGGGGCUCCAAACAACAUGGUGUGGAUGCAUGUGAAGGCCCAAAGUUUGAGUUACACCUCUAAGCAUUUAUAGAGCUAAUCAUUGAAGCCCCCCACAACAAAGUGUGAAUGAAAUCACUUAAAAAGGAGACUUUCCUAAGAAGAUUCAUAUGUAGCUAGGCCCCCCUAUAAAAUUAUAUAUAUAUAUAUAUAUAUAUAUAUAUUAAACUUAAAAAAUAAACUUCAUUCACUAUAAUAAAAUAUAUUUUAAAUGACACUUAAUUUUAAUGUCUUUAAUAUUUGAUAUGUGUCGAUAUUAAUAUUAAAUACUGCCAAUAAAUAUAUUUUUAUCAAAGAUAAAAUUUUUUAAUACUAUUUAAAGUGUGAUAUAUUUAUCCCAACAUAUAGGCAUCUUAAUGAACUCUUUCUCAAGCGUCUACAAGCGCUUCAGAUUAAUUCUUUCGAUGUUUAAAAUUCUCGUUGAUAUUAUAUUUAAAAUGUUCUUAAAAUAUAAAAAUAUUAUGGUAAUUAUAUAUAGUAUAGAUAUAUAUAUAGAGAGAGAGAGAGAGAGAGAGAGAGAGAGAGAGAGAGCUAGUCUCGAUCAGAUACUAUCUAUAGUACCGGAACUUCGGUACUAUAAUCCCGUUUUCGAUCUUAGGGUGUUCAAAUCAACGAUCCAUAUGGUUAAAACUGAUCUAGGAUAUUUAAAGUUUUUAGAAAUAAAAUUUUAUAUUUUUUCGACAUAGUUUACUUUAUGAUCAAACCAUUUCAAAAUUGUCAAUUUACAAUAGCUACUAUGACGAGUUUGGAGUUUAACGGUGUAGAAGAAUAUAAAUUCCUUCAAAUUUUAAUAGAAAAUACUUUAAACUAUUUAGAUUAAGGUUAACAUUCUUGAUCUUGAAUUUAGAAGUCCUAUAUUCAAAUUUUAAAGAUUAUUCAAUUUCUACCGUCUAUUUUGACAUAAUUUAUUUACUAAAUAAACAAUGUCGAAAAAAACUAAAAUUUUAUUCCUAAGAACUUCAUAUACCCUAGAUCGUAUUUAACGGUGUGGAUCGUUAAUUUGAACACUCUAAGAUCAAAAAUAAAAUUAUAGUACCGGAGCUCUGGUACUAUAAAUAGUAUAGUAAUCUAAUUCUAUAUAUAUAUUAUAUUAUAUUAUUAUAUAUAUACUAUUAUUAUAAAGAAGAGAGAGAGAGAGGAGGAGAGAGAGAGAGAGUUGAGCUAGAAUACUAUCGAUAACAAAUCGCCAACUUUUGCCACCCAUUUGUUUUCGAUGAUGGAGCUCCAAAUCGACGAUCGGUACGUUGAACAUGAUCCAUACCACUUGAAUUGUUUAGAAAUCAAAUUUCAAAUCUUUUCGACAUCAUUUGCCUAAUGAUCAAAGAGUUUCAAAUUUUGUAAUUUUAAUGGUCGAUAUGAGGCGUUUUCUAGUUAACGGUGUAAAGAUAUCCAAAUCAAUUGAAUUUUUGUUAGAAAAUUCUUUAAGCUAUUUAAAACAAGAUCUAUACUCUUGAUCUUGAUUACAAGACUCCUAUCAUCAUUUUUUUAAGAAUAUUCAUUUUCAGCCGUUCAUUUUUGUGUCACUCGAUGGAUAAGAGAACAAUAUCGAAAAUGUAUGAAAUUGAUUUCUAAAUACUUCAAAUGGUAUAGGAUCAUGUUCAACGUGCCGAUCAUCAAUUUCGAGGCUCCAUCAUCGAAACAAAUGGGUGGCAAAAGUGCCAAUUUGCUAUCGAUAGUAUGCAUAGCUCAACUAUAUAUAUAUAUAUAUAUAUAUAUAUAUAUAUAUAAAUAAUCUCCUCGGAAUACCCACAAAGCAACACCAAAGUGGUAGUAGUAACUAGUAACAAGUCAAAAGGAAAUAAGAAAUAUUUUUAUUUUUUUUAAAAUUUGUGGGGAAUCAUCAUAACAUUACCUGCUCCCUUGUUAAUUAUUAUAAAAUAACUCCACACCUUCAACGAUCUUUGACAUGUAUAUAUAAAUAAACGUACAAGUAAAUCACACAGUAGACCCACUAUCAUUUUUUUAUUUUAUUAUUAUUAUUAUUAAAAAAAAUUUCUUUUUAUGGAUCACAUGGAGUUGAACCUUAGCUAAAAGCUCCCAAUGGUUAUUGGUUGUAUGCACCAGUGAUGGUCCAAAGUAUUAAACAAAGGAGAAGGUCUCUCUCUCUCUCUCUCUCUCUCUCACUAAAAUAAUAAUUUCUCCAUAAAAAGAAAAUUAAAAUACAUGAUGAUAGAAAACUAUAUUUUAUUAUUUUAUGUUUAACAUUUUGGUAUGAUUAACUAAUCUUUAAAAAAAUUAAUUUUACCUUUUUUUCUUAAAAUCAACAGCUGAAAAUAAAAAUCUCACAAAAAGUGAUUAUAUGACACUUAAAUUUUAGAUCAAAAAUAUUGAUCUUAUUUUAUAUAGUAUAACAAACACGCGUGAUUUCAAUAUUUCUAUAUCAUUAAAUUUAUAAAAGGCUCAUCACAACUAUUAAAAUACUCUAUAUCAGAUCUAAUAGAGCCGAUUAUCGAUUUAAAAAUUUUAAUAUCGGAAACGAUUUAAUAGUACGGAUGCCACCAUAUUUCUGAAAAUACACAAGCCUAACUCCUUGGGCAGUGAUGCAUGAUUUAGUAUUUUACAUUCAACUCUCUUAGUCUCUCUCUAAUAAAUAUACUUUGUGUUGUUACAUAAAAUUUCUCAUUGAAAGAAAGGGGUCAUAUCUUGAUCAUAGGGCUGACCUUUUUUAGAAUAUUGAAAGCUUUGGUCCCUACAUAUAUAAUAGGAGAUAGUGAGACAAAAUGGAGAGCACAAAUAUGAAUCAAUUUUUGUGAAGGGAGAAAUUAAAAGCAAUAGUGGUGAGCCCUACUACUACGUACUACUACUACUACUACUAUUUUUUACUUUUUCUUUUUCCUUCCUUUUUACUGGUUCUUGUUCUCUUACAAAGGUGGGGCUUCAAAGUCCAAAGAUCUUCCAAACCACUAAGCCACCACUUGCACCUUUUAAUGCCAUUUUGACAAAAGAUCCCCACCCCCACCCCCUCUUUAGGAGUCUUUAGGGUCUCCAUGACCAAGUCAAGUUUUCUCCCUUUCUAGAUAACUUUACAUGGUCUUUUAUACCCUAAGAGAGAUUAUUGCAUGGAAGACUCAUCCAUGCAUCAUGUGAGUUCUGUGUCUGUAGAUUACUCGCACGCAUCUAUUUUUCUAUUUGGCAUAUAGCUCAAAUCGAGUAUUCGAGAAUGAGAAGGAUAUUAUGUAACUGCUCUAUAUAUUCAUAGGUGAUGCACUAACCAAGAUAAUCUUUUCUACAUCUUAUCUUUAGUUUCAAUCUUCAACUCUUUUUUUUUUUUAGUUUUUUGAGGGUAAAAAUGUAUGGAAAUCCCCUAAAAAUGUUGUCCAUUGAACCUAAGUUCAUCAAAUUAUUAAGUGACUCCAUAAAAUUUUAUAUAACUAGAUCUAAUUAUUUUUCAACUGAGGGAAGUGUACGGAUAUUGCUAGUUGUAAUUAACAAGAAAUAGCUAAUGGAACUAUUAAUUUUAACAAAAUUCUCAACUUAAGUGGAUCAAAUCGAAUAGAUAAUUGAAAGUUGAGACACCGUCAUCGAUCAAAUACGAAAAAAAAUGGCUUAUAGUUGAGGAGGUCUCCAUAAAUACAUUUUAUUUUAUUAAAUUUCAAAUAUGGAAAUAGACGACAAUUACUUAGAUACAAAAUGACGGCAAUUAAAAAAAGAAACCAGCUGAAUGGACGGCAGAUUACUAAGCAGUACUUCGUAGUUGAUACGAUAGAUUAGAUACAUGCAAUAAUUUCUCUCUCUCUCUCUCUCUCUCUCUCUACUUUGAGCUUUUGAAGUUUUCAAAGGAAUAAAUCAAAUUGCACCCUUUCCAAACAAUGACAUGAACCCAUGAUAAGUGGUCUUUUACUGGCCUUGACUGGGUUAGCUUGUAGAAUGAGAUCAAGUCCAAGUCAUACUCUACUUUUUCUUUUUUUUUCUUUUUCUAUUUUUAAUGAUUCCUUGGUAACUUGUAAGCAUCAAUGUGCCAUUAUAAAAUACUAGGCCGCAACAAUUAAGUGUAGUUAAUGUCGAAUAUAAAUGUAGCUUAAAUUAGGAAUAAACAAUUACUUUAUUUUCUUUAGCAUGAUAUCAGUCGCUGUGGACUUAUCAAAAUGUUAUGUAUCUAGAACGUAUGCUUUAAUAUAAUUAAACAAAUAUAUCAUUCUCUAGCAGUUUUAAGUUUUUGAAAAUAAACAGUUAUAUUAUAUAAUUUAACAGCUAACACCACUCCUGAUCCACAUGUUGUGGGAGAAAACAUGAAAAGGAAUGGAUUAGAUAGAUUAGGAGUGUAUCCAAUAUUAUUACUAUUUGCAUUAAUUUAUUAACUAUAUAAUUGUGUUUGACCAAGUACAAGGAUUGAGAAUUGAUUGCGGAGUUUUGAGAGGAAAAUUAUAAGAGAGAGAGAGAGAGAGAGAGAGAGAGAGAUUUUUAGAAAAAAAUGUUGGUUUCCAUAUUGGAAUCUAUACGUAGCGUUCUAUUAUGUUUGGCAACCUAGGUAUAGGUUUGAUGUUUGCGUGCACGUACCUUGUUAUAUACGUGUAACGCCAAAAAUUAAUCAAAACAUAGUACAACGUUAUAUAGCCUACAAAUAGCAGGGAAAAUGUUAAGAUACCAAUAAUGCAUUAUUGAUAGUAUAUGGGUACGUAUACAAAUAAUGGAUAUAUAUAUAUAUAUAUAGAGUUUGAGAGAUAGGUAGCACGCUACCCGCUUCGUUUAUUUCAUUUAGAAAUAAACUUAACUAGAAAUGUGAAUCAACUAGGAUUCGAACUUGGGUCUCGGGUACCAACCACAAAGCUUUGCCACUUGCUCUAGGGACAGUCGGUAGUUCAACAAAAAUAUUAUUGAUAGUACAUAUGUAUACUAUUCACUUUUUUUAUCUUAGAUCAUUAUUAUUACACUAAACAUCCACUGAACCCUAGACAUUCAAUAUCCACAAAGUAAAUAGUAUUAUACUAUAUAUUAAUAGUAUUUCAGCACAACUCUCUCUGUAUAUAUAUUAACUUCACCCUGGCUACUUCUGCAAAAGUACUUUAGCUAUAAGCGAGGUAUUCUAUUUUGAUAUUUUAUUAUAUUUUUAAUAUGUUUUCUCACAUUUGAAUUAACGGUUUUUUCUUAUAGAAACAAAACAUAGAUUUUAAAUUUAAUAGGGAAAAAAUUAAAUAAGAUUAGGAAUGUGGCGGUAUUCGAAGUAAGAAUUUUUUUUACUCGAUGACCAUGCUGAAGAGCCAUUGUUCUUUCAAAAGCUUAAGCUACAACUUUUCCGACUUCGCACUGCGUAACACAAAAUUCACUUUGGUAUAAUUUCAAUUGUUGAUUAGAUUGAGUCUCUAACAUUAAAUUAUUUUGUGAAAACAACCAUUUUUCUCCCUAAUAGCUUAAGUCCUACACUAAUACCAAAUUAAGUAAUCUCCUUUCUCUUAUACUAAUAGCUCCAAACUAUCUAUAUAUACCAGGAAAUGGUGAUUUAAUAUAUAUUACUUUCUCUAUGGGUGUGUGGUAAUCAUGCUGCAUAAUAAAAAAUAUACUCGUUUAAAUCGAAUCAAUAAUAUCUUUCGAUAAUUUAUCAUCAUUUAAUACCUAAAUAAUCCUAAUUGUAAAGAAAAAAGAAAAAAAAAAAGGAAAAACUCUCCUGUUACUGUGGACAUUAAUUCCUGCUGUUCUCAGUAAUAAAAAUUGUCCAAGUAAACGAAAUUAUGCUACUAUUCUUAUUCAUACAUAAAAUAACUGUAGUAAUUAAAUUAAAACAUUAAUAGUGCUACUUUGUCAAGUCAAAAUUUUCUCCAUCAAUUCAAUAUUAACUCUCUUUAAUUUUAUUCAAAUGGAAUUAAUUUCGAGUUUAAAAAACUUAAGACACUACUUAAGCUGUAUAUAUAUGUUCAAUUCUUUUGAGUAAAAGGAUAUAAUUAGUUACAGAAAUAAUAAUUAAUUUCCAUAAUAAACUUUUCAUUCAAACCUACUAGUCCAUUAGUUGAAAUUCUUUAUUAUUAUUAAAUCCUCUUUCUCAAAGUUUUAUAUAUUACCUUUUCCCAUCCUUUUGGAUUAAUUAAAAUUAUUGUUGAUCUUUGAAAUUUCAACUAAGAAUCUAAGACCCAAUCUUUUAAAUGUUUUAGUAUUCAAAGGGGCUCAUUAAAACCCAUGCCCUGGUUAUAUAAAUCUAACCAUUCUUAACAUAUAUACAUAUACAUAUAUAUAGAUGUGUGUGUGUGAUAUACAUAUCAUAUAUAUAUAGAUAUACAUAUACAUAUAUGUGUGUGUGUCAACAUAUAUAUUCAUGGUGUUUUCAAAUUAACCCUUUUUUGUGUACUUGUAGACCCCCCUUGAGUGAGCUUAUCUUAGCUCAAGUUUGGUUUGAAAUUAAUUUCGAAUUUAAAUUUAGGCUCAAAUUUGACUUAAAAUUAAUUCGAACAGAGCUCGAGGGAGUCUAAUUUCUAGUCGAGCGAGCUAAAGCCCUAAACGAGCCACUUGAAAUUCUUAAUAUCAUAUAAUCUAUAGUUUAAUUUUUAUAGAACAUUAUUUAGAAUUUAAACCACCAAGCCAAACGCGAGCAGAACAUGAGCAGGCUCACUCAUUUGCCAGCGCUGGUCCCCGCAUGUCCGAGACCAAAAGUUGUAGUGUCAUGUUCACAACAAUGUACGAAAAUUUGAACUAGUGUCAAUUUUUCUCUCCUUUCUCUGUUUUCGGACCAAAAAUGUCAUUUUCCAGGGGCUCUGGUUGGUAUAUGAAGUUAAUUAUAUAUCUAACGUACGUACGUAUGUGUAUACUUAUGCAUACAUAUAUCUAUGAAUACAUAUACGCUAAUUUUGACACAUUUUAACUUGUAAUGUGUGCUUAAUUUUAAAAAUAUCUAUAAUUCAUGCAUGCAUGGUACUAGGAGAAGUAUAUAUGUGGUUUUAGUUAUAUCCUUGUGUGUGUGUGUGUGUGUGUGUGUGUGUGUGUGUAACAUGCAAGUAGAAUUUAUAAUUAGUAAAGAUAACUAAGAUGAAUCUUAGGAUAUUAAUUAAUUAGUAGCAUAGAUUGUUUUACAACAAUGUCUCUAGUACAAUAGUUUAGCUUUUUUUUUUGAUGAAGUUCUAAAAAACAAUUUAGUACAAAAACAAUGAAAUGAUUCUACUCAUUAGUUAAGGCAAUAUAUAUAUAUAUAUCACUACAACAGAAUUAGUUUAUAGGGACACAUAUUUGGGACACUUUUGAGUAAGUGUCCCAUUUAUGUUAAAACUUAAAAACACAUCUACUAAUGCCUAAAUAUAAAGCCCAAUCCAACCAAAAAUAAAAGAUUACUCUACUCAACCCACCACACCUAGUCCAUUUGGCCCGAUUACAAACAGAAAAGAAAAAAAAAAAAUCAAUUAUCAUCUUUUCUUCUCUCUUCACUCAAUCCACUGAAAUUCUAGACGAAAAGCCUUUACUGUCGUCCUCCUCCGCCACCGCAGCCAACGAAAUAGAGUUUCGGCGGUUGCUAAAUGCUUAAAUAAGUGUUGGUAAAUUAGCAGCACUCUUUUAGGUUAUAGCGACACUCUUUAACUGUCACUAUAUACCUAGCGAUCCCACAUAUAGCAAUACUUUUUAAAAGUAUCGGUAAUUUUAGCUAGCAGCACUUUUUUGACAUGUAUCUAUAUUUAAAAGUGUCGCUAUAGACCGUUUUUGUCGUAGUGUAUUUAUUUAUAUAACAAAUUCAAAAGUUUAAUCGGCGCUUGCAUUUUGAAGUUUAGAAUCAUACUUCAUCUUUUCACCGCAGCUAAACUGUAAGCGCUAUAAAUAAACCAUUGAAAAAUUAAUAGUUGUAUCUGAAAGCAGAAGUAAAAGUUCGGCCACACCGGCACCGACGCGAUCGAUCGAUAACUGCGGUCCAUAUUACCCACAACAGGUGUCAUUAGAUGAGAGAUUCCUGCUAAUAAGUCACGAUCAUGGUUGCGGAAAGGCCUAACAUUUGCGAACUACUCCCUCUUGCUUGAAAGGGACCUUCCCCCAAUAAAACACCCCACCAUACACCACCACCACCACCCAACUAUAUAUAGUAUUAAUAUUGUUCUCGUCUACGGAUGCAAAUGGCACGGAUCUGGGGGCGGGAAAGGGUCCCCACCCACUCUCGUUCCAUUUUAUUGGCGGAUCGAGAUAAGAAAAGUCGACCGAUCAGAUUCAGGGCGGAUCUUUUAAAGCACGAAUCCGAACCCAAACCCAAAAUCUCAACCCGACGAAUUCUGAAAAUUCAUAUCCAAGUAUGCACCCAACCAAUAAUUCGAAAACUAAACCAAGAUCCGAAAAUUCCAACCUGAAAUAAUUAUUUCUCUUUAUCAUAUUUCAAAAAUAUUAUAUUAAAAUAUAAAAUUUUUAAAAUACAAGUUCUAAUGUAACAUUAAAUGUUUAUAUAUGUUAUCAUAUAACGUAAAAUCAAUUCGGAUUUGAGUCGGGUAGGAUCAGAAUAUAUAUACCCGAAUUCAAAUCCGUCGAGUUUUCGUUAUUUAUACUUGUAUUCAAAACUAUAUCCGUUUACCAUCCGUACCGGUCGACAUCCCUAGUCGGAAUAAAUUUGGUAAAAUUUAAUUUUUAUCAUAAUUUUUUUUUGUCCCUACUUACUACUGGUUCAACAGGGGCGAUAUAAAAGAAAAAUUUUGGCAAAUUUUUGACAAAUCAGAGCGACUUUAUUUCUUAGCGAGUCGUAAUGGAUUCAGAAUGAAUUAUUCUCAUUCAGAACGGAUCGGGGUGUGAGCUCCAUUCACCCGACUUCGUUUGCAUCUCUAUUCUCAUCGAAAUGAUAAUAAUUUAGCUUUUACAUGCAUAGUCACUCGUCAACAAUCUCAUGCUAAUAACAAGAUGAUGACCCGUAAAUAAAUAAAUAAAUAAAAAGACAAGAAGAAAAUGAAAGGACCAAAGUCCCUUUCUUAAUUUGUGGUGUAAUAUAUAUUUAGCAUAAGUAAUUAACAACCACAUCUUAAAAAACAAAACUCCAAACUUUUAUAUAUUAAUUAUUGAUAUAAUUCCCACCUUAAAAUAAUCGCCUCGGAUUCUACGCCGUCACAUUCUCUUUCAUGUCAUCACGUUAGCUCGAUGCGUUCUCACUGUCGCCAGGUAGUUCCAAAAAAAAAAAAAAAAAAAAAAAUUAUAUAAAAUUUAGGAAAAACUUCAAAUACCUUCAUGUGGUUUCACUUUUUCUCACUUUAGUACCAUAUGAUUUAAAGUGUAUCAAGUUAGAACCAUGUGGUUAUUGCACUUUUUCACUUUAGUACCAUGUGUUUUAAAGUGUAUCAAGUUAGUACCCUAUUGUUUCGCACUUUCUCACUUUAGUAUCCUGUGAUUUCGUACUUUCUCACUUUACUACCAUGUGGUUUAAAAACCACAAGGUACUAACUUGAUACAAAAAUAAGAUUACAGAGUACUAACUUUAUACAAAAAUAAAACCACAUAGUACUAAUUAACUUGAUACAUUUUAAACCAUAGGGUACUAAAAUGAAAAAGUACGAAACUACAGGGUACUAAUUUGAUACACUUUAAACCACAUUGUACUAAAAUGAAAAAGUACGAAACCACAGCGGGAUUUUUUGAAAUUUUUUCUAAAAUUUAUCUGAAUUAUAAAUUAUUUAAAUUUAAUAUUUAAUAUUUUUGCAUUCAAAUUUUGACUAUAUAAUUUUUUUUAAUUUGAACCAAUUAAUGAUAUCUUAAUUUUAAAAUUUGAAUGUAUUAUUUUUUUAGUAUGCUUCAUGUAACUCUCGCAAUUAUAAAUUUAUUAAAAUAAGUAUUAGUUUAAAAUUUAAAUUUAAAGUAUCGUUGACUCACUCAAAUUAAAUAAAUUAAAAUAUUAAAUAGUAAAAUUAAAUUUUUGAAAGGUUGGGUGAUGGAUUCAAAACCGUUCAUAAUUUAGAUAAUUUCUCUACGUUUUUACCUAAAAAAUAAUGUAUGAAAAUUAUAGAAACUAUGAUCCAUUUUAAUUUGGCUACCUAAAAUUUUAGAAUUGUUUGUGGAGGAUGCGACCCUUAUUGGAACUUACAGAUUUUAUUCUUUUCCAACAACAAAUAUUGUUAUAAUCGAUAACUAGUAGUUGUAAUAAUAUUUUAUGGUAAUAAGCAAAAAUCGUUGCAAUAUAUUUUAUAAUAAUAGAUAACUAAAUAAUAUGAUUUGCAUUAUCAGCGUGAUACAUAUAUACUGUUGCAAUAAAAUAUAUUUUCUAAUAAUUUAAUUUUUAAUAUAAUUAAAUUGAUGUGAUAAAAUAAAAUUUUCGUAGUGGAGAGGAUGCUUGAUAUGUAUUAACGACUAUCUAAUACUAUUACAUUAAAAAGAAUAUUUGAAGGGAAAAUAUUUAGAAAUGUGUUUCUCUAUUUUUUUUUUAAGUACGAUCGCAGAAAUCUUACCUUAAUUAUUGAACUACUGUGAUCUCCUCGACACGUUACCAUUAAUAAAGUUGGAUUUUGGGCAUUACUACUUAACAUUGUAUUUUAUUUUAUUUUCUUUUCUUUUUUGUGAUUCUUCGAUAGUAAAAAGGUUAUCAAAUUACUUAAAUUACACGAAAUAAAAAGCUAUAUCACUACAACAGAAUUAGAUUAUAGGGACACAUGUUUGAGACACUUUUGAGUAAGUGUCCUAUUUAUGCUAAAACUUUAAAAAAAUCUACUUAUGCCUAAAUAUAAAGCCCAAUCCAACCAAAAAUAAAAGAUUACUCUACUCAACCCACCACACCCAGUCCAUUUGACCCGAUUACAAACAGAAAAGAAAAAAAAAAAAUCAAUUACCAUCUUUUCUUCUCUCUUCACUCAAUCCACUGAAAUUCUAGACGAAGAGUCUUUUAUGUCGUCCUCCUCCGUCACUGCAGCCAACGAGAUAGAGUUUCGACGGUUGCUAAAUGCUUAAAUAAGUGUUGGUAAAUUAGCAGCACUCUUUUAGGUUAUAGCGACACUCUUUAACUGUCACUAUAUACCUAGCGACCCACAUAUAGCAACACUUUUUAAAAGUGUCGGUAAUUUUAGCUAGCAGCACUUUUUUGACAUGUACCUAUAUUUAAAAGUAUCGCUAUAGACCGUUUUUGUUGUAGUGUAUUACAAAUCAAAGCUUUUAAACGUUAGGCAUACAUAGCUAAACCAAAAAUAUAUAGGUUAAAGCUAAGUUCCAUAUAUACGCUAAUACCUCGUUGAUCACCUCUCGAAAUAAAUAAGAGUUUCACUAUUAAUAUGGAGUUUCAUGCAUGGAACUUGCAAUAUUAUUCAUUUACUACAUUUUGCAAAGACAAUUUUAUGUGAAAGUAGUGUUUUUUUUUUUCUUUUCUUUUUUGGGAUGCAGUGCAUGUUUGUUUGGCUUUUAAUUAUAACAUCUUUCCUAUUCCAAAAAGUACUCAAAUGACAAAUUAAUGCAUGUUCUUUAUGCAUUACAAAGCAACCAUUACACAAUACAUAUUAAUAUACAUAUGUUUGAGUGCACAAAAUGAACUUUUCAAAUAAUUAUUAUUCAUUCAAGUAUGUGUUCAUAAGUAAAUUAUUACGUAAAUUAUUAUUAUUAUUAUUAUUAUUAUUAUUAUUAUUAUUAUUUUGUAAAGGAAAAGUAUAUAUAACCAUGUAGAAUAACAUGUUGACCAUAGACCCUCAUAAUUUAGGUGAACAGUGGCACUUUCCAAUUAUAAAAUUCCCACCAACAAUAAUUCUACUUUGUCAUAAUGAUUCGGAGUAGGUAUUUGGGUAACAAUUUUUCUAAAAUAAUUUAAUCUACUAAACUAUAUAAGAGAGUACCAUUAUAAAUAAUUAAUUCAUAGAUUUGAUAACUUUGACUUGAUCACAAUGCGAAUAAGUCAAACCAUGGCAGAGAUCAGUAACGUGAGCCUCACCAUGGAAGCAUUUUAAUUAAUUAACUUUAAUAUUAGAUUAAUUAGAUUAGAUUAAUUAAUUAGAGAAAUGGUAUGUAACUAUAGAUCAUGUUGAUGUCACAGAUACAAAUAUUAUGGGCUCCUGUUGACAUGUAUUGUUUGUUUUUAUCCCACAAGCAUUAAAAAUAAAAAAGAUCAUAACCUCAUUGUUUGUUUUUUGUUUUUAUGAUUUGUUUAAUUUUGACCUCAAGAUCCUCUCAUUUACUAGUGUUAUUUUUAAAUAUUUAAACAUGUAUCCUUGUCGCAAUGUGCUCUCUCUCUCUCUCUCCAACACAAGCAUGCAAAUUUACAGACACAUUUAUUACUUAAAAGAUCGAUCUGAUAUGAAAUAACCUAUAUAUAUGGAGAUAAAAUGAUCGAUUGAUUAAAAUAACUAAUUAUCACUAUGCAGAAAGAAGGUUUAGGAUUAAUUUCAAAGCCAUAGCGAGCUACAUUCGCAAGAAAUGUUUUGUUUAGAUCAAUUUUUUGAAGAUGGAGAAAUUUCAAAUAAAUUCCACAUAAUUUAGUUGGAAGUAAUUUGUUAAAAAACAAAUCAGAAUAUAUGCAACCAAUUAAUUAAUUAAUUAAUUCUUCUUUACAAAAAUUAUAUUGGAGUAGGUGUUCAAAAAUCUAGCUAUGAAGCUAUUCUUUAGUAAUUUUGCAGGUCUAAAAACAGACUUAUUUUGUGUACUAUGACUCCAAAUGUAGACCAACAUAUAUAUAUAUAUAUAUAUAUAUAUAUAUAUAUAUAUAUAUAUAACAACUAAAAAACUGGUACCAUGAUAGGAUACAAAUCCAAACAAAUUAGACCAAAAGUUGAAAAGAUUCAACUAAUAUAUUUAGGCCUACAAAUUGAAGAAUCAUGAUGGUUGUUGAGAUGUAUUAUAUGUGCUUAAUUUUUUUAAAAAAAGACAAGUUUGAACUUUGAACAUCUAGAUAUGAGCAUACUAUAUAUGACCAUUUUUUAAAAAACUAAAGAAACAAUUACUAAGGACAAUGUUGUGGUGGUAUUAUUGGUAGAUUCAAAAGUAAAAGUCAGGAGGGUGAACAUUGAUCAAUCACUAAAUUAAGAGACUUUAUAAAUAAUGUGUCACAACUCCCUAGAUUUAAUUUCAGUUAGUUUUCCUGAGAACAAACAUAGAAAAUACAUAGGUAACACAUACUAGCAAAAGAUCCUGUUAUAUAUAUAUAUAUAUAUAUAUAUAUAUAAGUGAGCUGGUAUGCUUCUGGAAGUACAGAGCCUUCCGUGCUUCCAAGUCGUUUUCGAUGUUGAGACUUUCGAAUCGACGAUCGGCUCCGUUAAACUUGAUCUAGAGUAUUUGAAGUACCUAUAAAAUAAAUUUUGUCAUAAUCGAAGGGGCUCAAAAUCAACGGUUGAAAAUAAAAAUCUUACAAAAUAUGAUGAUAUGACAUUAAAAUUUCCAAACACUUGGUGCUUAUAAAUUUUUUACCGUUAGAUUUACACUUUUGAUCAUUUCAACCCGUUAGAUCAUACUAUUCAACCAACCACCCACUCAACCCUAGGAGUCCCACAUCAUUCCAACCGCACAUCUCUUAAUUCAAUGGCAAAAAAUCUACAAACACCAACAACUUGGUACUUUUAAAAGCAUAGGAGCUCAAUUAUAUAUAUAUAUAUAUAUAAUUGAGCUCAUAUGCUUUUAAAAGUACCAAGUUAUUGGUGCUUGUAAGUUUUUAGCCCUUGGAUUAAGAUUGCGUAGAGAUGUGGCCCCCUAGGUGGUGAUUGUUGGUUGAAUAGCUAUAAUCUACCAGAUAAAAUGAAUUAAAACAGAGAGAUCUAAUGGUAAAAAAUUACGAAAGCACCAAAAUGCUUGAUGACUUUUAAAGCAUCAUAGCCGACCUAUAUAGUAAUAAUAUAUAUAUUAUAUAUCAUAUAAUAUAUAUAGGUCGGGCACUAACUCUUAGAGUAUCAGAACCUCCCUUGUACCCCAUAAAAUUAAACACUUAUCUGAUGCGAUAUGUGGUUAGAUGAUGUGUCCCCACUUAAAAGAUACAGUGUCCCCUUAGGUCUGAUGUGGGUAGUUGUAUAAUAGUAUGAUUAACGAAUGCAAAUGAUUUAAUAAAAUAAUCUAAGGGUUGAAAACUUAUGAGUAUAGAUAAACAAACUUAUAAAAUAUAGUAACGACUCAAUAUAAUAGAUAUAUAUAUAUAUAUAUAGUGAGAGAAAGAGAGAGAGAGAGAGUUUGAUUACUAUACUAUCGAUAGUACCAAGUUUUUGGUACGUACUAUCAAGUUUUCUGUCAUUAGAUCUACAUUUUGAACAUUUUCAUCUAUUAAAUUAUAUUAUUCAAGUAACCACCUAUUCAACCCUAAGAAACCACUAUCAUCCUAAUCCAAAACCAUUAUCAUCCUAGCCACACAUUCUUUCAUUCAAUGGCCGAAAAUUUAAUAACACGAAGCGUUUAGUACGUACUAUUGAUAGUAUAGUAGCAUAUAUAUAUAUAUAUAUAUAUAUAUAUAUAGAGAGAGAGAGAGAGAGAGAGAGAGAGAGAGAGAGAGAGAGAGAGCAGGACUACUGUGCUAUUAGUAGCACAUCAGUCUUUAUAUUUCUAACUUCCUAACCAUCUAUUAAGUUUGAUAAAUAGUUAGGAUGAAAGAGAGGAGAAAUUAGAUGUCUCAAUUUUUUUUUCUUUUUGAAUUUCUUUUCAAUUUCUCUUCUCUCUCAUCCUAACCAAUAUAUAUAUAAUGUUGGUUUGAUCGAGCUCUUAUUAGUGACGGAAUGCAUUUGAAAUUUAGUGGC